GCAGCUUCAUUUCAUUCCUGAAGCAUCCUGAGCCCCUCAGUGCCUUGCUUCUGCGUAAACGCUGUAAACUGGACCAAAUGGGUUGAAAAUGGCCAGAAAUUGAUCUUGGUCACUUUAGAUAUUUUAUGACAAUUAAAAGAAAUCAUUUUCUGUCCAUUUAAAAUCCAUUUGGGCCAGUUUAAGCUAAUGGCGCAGGGCUGGAGCCUGAGAUCCAUAAGCCCAAGAAGAUGGCUGAAGAUGAUGCUGACUCAAGCCACUCAAGGAGCCAGAUUUCUCAGAUUCCAGAUUCACUCCUUCUUCGACCCUCAUCCUGGACCUGAGGUGACUGGAAGCCUUGAGAUGAGAUGAGAAAACUGGGGUUCAGAAAAGUCCCAUGACUUGUCCAAGGCCAUGAAGCUAGUUCACAGAGUGGCACAGAAUCAGCUAUGGAAGCACUUGAGAGAAUACAGAUAACAUUUGUGGCCUGGAGAGACAGCUACUAAGUGGCUUAAGAUCCAGCACCUCCAUGGAGUGAUGAGAGGAAAGGCCAUUUGAGGACACAGUGAGAAGAUGAUGAUUAUCUACAAGCCAGGAAAAGAAGCCUCUUCAGGAACCAAUCCUGACACAGAGUUUGACUUUUCAGCCUCUACAACUGUGAGACAAUGAGCGUGUUGUUUACAGCACGCAGUCUGUGAUAUCUUGUUAUGACAGACCAAGGAGUCUAAUCUAACUAUUCCUUAAUAUUGGGAACAUUACUUAGAAGCAAAUGAUCUAUGAAAAUGGUAAAGUCAUCUGUGUUUGCUAUUCUUAUUCCCCCUUUUACACCAUUGAGCAUUCAAAACGGUGAUAGACAACUUACACUAUAUGCCUGGGACUCAUUUCUCUUUAGCUUUUAGCAUUUGAUUUCUAACAUCAUGGUUAAGGUCUGAAAAAUCCUGUCUUGAUAAUACACUAUAGAGAGUUACAGACAUAGAGAAAGGCUACACUCCCAAAUUGCAGUCCCAAGAGGAUUCUAAGCUUGGGUAGUGCUGAUGGAGCACUCCCACCUGUGGUGCACCAUUGGUUUAAAGACUUUAUUUUUACUAUUCUUUAUAUUGCAGUUUGGAACUGAGUUGUAGAACAGAGUAUAUCUCAUUAUUCUCUCCAUUUGGUCUUUCUUCCCUCGCUAAUUCCAAAGUAUGCAAGCUAUAUGCUUUCUAGUUUUUUUUUCCUUUACAGACAUUAUCUAGGCACCAAAAACAGCGAUGGAAAGAGACAGAUUAAAUCCAAAGCACUAGUUUCCAUUACCUUAAGCUGCCUCAAUGAUUUUUCUGAUGGGGUGAAAUUUCUUGUACUUGGUCUUAGGCCCAAGAUAUAUGCAAUGCUUCAAUGAAAUUGCUUGCGACACAUUGAAGUAAGUGCCUGGGAACUAUGAGUUCGUCAAGUAUUAAAAGAAAAAAGACUCAAAACUUCUUGUACAGGCAGUGGACUGAAAAAUGGAUAGCUUUCAAAGUUUUACUUGCUAUAGAUAUCUACCCUCAUAUUGAGAGUGUUCUGUUCUGUGAAAAACACAAAGAUACAUAUUCAUAGGCCAUGUCAGAAAGCAUGUAUUCCACAAGCUUUGUGUCAAACCCUCCACAUUUUGGUGCCGGCCUCCCUCUCCAGUCUAAUCUCCUGUUACAGCCCCUACUUCAGUUUAGUUACUUAUUUAUUACUUUACAGUUCAGUUGUUGGCCACAUAGUAGGCCUUGUGUGUCCUUCCAGGCACCCAGGAGCUCCUAGCCUCAGAGGAGAACCUUUUAAAGUAUCUCAUGUGGUUAACAGCAUUGUAGAAGCUUGGUUCGCAUUGUCACACAUGAUGGGAUUCCAUUUAUGACAGCCUAAUAGAAGGAAUAAGGACCAGGGAUCAGGCUUCUGCAACACACAGUACUAUGUUAGAGCUCUCUUGUGUGGAGUUUGAGUAAUUCACUUCUUGCAACAUAUAUAAUAUGUUGUUUUAGCUUCUCCAUAGGGAAGAGUUUAUCAAACUCAAAGAAUAAGAUACAAUCAGCACUGAAUUUUCUCUCAGCAGUGAAUCUUUCUCCCUGAGCAAGAUGUUUGGUUCUUAUAACAAUGUUCAGAAAGUUAUGGAAAGUGCUGAUAGUCCAGCACACAUGUAUGCAAAGGUCUUACCUUUAAUCAUCUGGGAAUAGCAGGUUCCCAAGUUCUACUUGUUUCCCUUGAUGUCCCAGUUGACAGGUAGAUACUUGGUGUAAUGGAGAUGUGAAUACUCUAGAUGAGAAAAGAGAAAGGUGUGCUGAGGGCUGCUGAAUAUCAAAGGGACUUGAGAUGAUGGCUAUUUUGGCUUUGGCACUGUGCCCUGUUGGUAGUGCACUCCAUUCCUCCAGAGAUGUCCAAAGCGAGGUCAGGGAUGAGAUGUAAAGAUUAAGGGGAAGAAAGGCUGCUCCCCAAAUGGAGGCUUGGUGUUUGAAAAAGAAUGUUAUAAGGCCAAGAUAAGAUACCCAGACUCUAGUCCUAAAUCUGCCCUUGACUUAUGGUCUGACCUUGGGCAAGCCAUUUCUUAGUUUUGGAUCUCAGUUUCUUUGUAUAUUAAAAAAAUUGUUUGGAAGCCAGGUAUGGUUGUGGGGUGUGUAUACCUUGAAUUCCAGCAUUCAGGAGGCAAAGAGAGGUGGAUCUCUGAGUUGAGGCUAGUCUAUGUAGUGAAUUUCAGGCCAGUCAGGGAUACAUAGUGAGACCCUAUCUCAAAAAAAAAAAAAACAAGAGUGGUUUGAGACUGGGGAUGUUGCUCAGUUGGUAGUUUCCCAGCAACACAAAGUAUUAUGGUGCAUGCCUAUCUGUAAUCCUAGAUUUGGGGUAGUAUAGGUAAGCGAAUCUGACAUUCAAGGUAACCAUCAGCUACAUUGUCAGUUUGGGGACAGCCUGAGAUAUAUGAGACUAUCUUAGAAACAAAAAAGUUCAGUUUAUCUAUGGGGUGUCUUUUCACACUGACCUUAAGUAUUUUUGGUCCCUUGACUUCUCUAGAAAAGGAGCAAAUGCCAAGACUGUUAAGUAUAGACUGGAAGUUAUAAAAUAUGAAAAGAAUAAAAGAAAGAAAUUUAAAGCACACAACUGCAGAGUAUGUCAUGUUAUUAGUAUUCUACUCUGUGUAUUUCCUACAAUAAUAUUUUGUCCUAUAGUUCCUGGGGAACAACUGAAAUAUCUUGGGACAUGCAAUUUUCAUUGUUUCAGUUGUAGCUCCUAAAUUGCCUCAUUGAACCAGAAAAUACUUCAGCAAGUUUUUCAACAGGAACCAGUGUCAAAUUUUUGUUUCAGAAAAUAUGGUCACCACAACUCUGUAGCACUCACCUUAUGUUCCUUAGGGUGUUCUCAUACAUAUUAAGUUUUCCAACUAUGUAAGUAAUGGCCAGGGAAAUAGAAACUGAUUAAUAUAAUCUGUUGGGAUCACUUAUUACUCACACAUGACAUGUGUUUGGAAAUAUAGUAAUUCUUCAAGACAGAUAUUACAUGUAUUGUGAUACCAGUUGAGAGACCAGUUAGGUUCUCCUACAGUAACAUUCUGUUGCUAGAGGGCAAAAGAAACUGGGCAGCGGGAGAAAUUAGCAGUUAGAAGCAGGAAGGCAGAAGUUUCAAAUAUACGCUGUUUACAGCCUCUGCUGAUAGUGACUGGGAACCAGCAGUUUUGGAUUUAGGUAAAGGAACAUGUAAGCUAUGCCUGCCUGGAUGUCUGUCUCCAGCUCUCACCUCUCUCUUGGGUCAGAGAAGAAUUUUAAAAUGCUUGUUCUAGUUCUCAGUCUGACACCCGAACUGUAUUUCUCUUCUCCCCAAGACCUGUUCUUUUCCCUAAUUCACUGUUCUUGUUACUGGUGCUACUUUCAUCUUACCAAUCACUAAAAAUGAUAAAUAUGGCAUUUACAUUUUUUCAUUACCUUGGUAAAUCUAGUCAUUUGCUAAGUUGUGGUACUAUUGCUUCACGAUUUCAUCUCACAAAAGGCAACCUCUUUCAUAUUUCAUUUUCUCAUCUCAUAUGUGUGAGUAAUUCUUACCUGGUUCAUUUUCUCUAAACCUUAUCCACCCCAUUCAAUCAAAAUACAAACACACACAUAACUGUUAGCAUUUUUCCUUCUAGUUGUUAGGCUAAGUAUAUGGAGAGGUGAUCUACAGUGCUACAUACACAUUUUGCAUUGAAGAAAGGGAAGAAGGGAUUAUUUUCUCAAGAAUAUUUUGAGGCAAUUUCAGAAGUCCAUAGUGGCAUAAGGAAAUACUUGCUCCUAGUUAAGAAUUAUAUUUUAUCUUGAAACACUUUCACUGUAUGCUUUUCCUCUAAACUUGAUGUUCAAGCCAGCCUGACACUUGUAGUUCUCCCUGACCACAACAGGUUGGUAUUUUUCAUUUCCUUCUGUGUACGCUUAGAACUGCUGAAUGUGUUCUUGUUGCUUUUUACCCCGAAGCCUCAUCUGAUCUUUCCCACAGAUGUUGGGGAUUCAGGGAUUUCCCCAUAGGUUUGAGUGUCUCCUCCCUCAUUACUGGCCUUGGCCUCUUCCCAUAGCCAUGUUUCCAUCACUCACAUGGACUUGGCCACGUGGCAGCUUUGCUGAUGGGCUCUUCAGCCAUCUUCCACAAACCCAGGCCAAGAGGUGACAUUCAAUCUGUCCUCAGUGUAUACCUCCAUUCUGCCAAAGCUGUAAAACUGUCUGGGAUUAUAGUCCCAUCCAGUUAUGUGCAUGAGAAGGCACUUUCCAAAGACAUUGAUCAAUUCCCUAAUGACCUCAUGGCACAGCAGGUAGAGCUCCUGUGGUUUGCAGCAAGAAAGCCAGACUGUAGCAACAAGUCCUUCAGACUCUGCGCUCUGAAACUCUCUCGAGUCAUACGGCUUGAGAAGACCACUGGGUAUUUUGGAACUUGUCCCAAACACAAUUAAAUAUCCAGGCAAAAGGGAAAAGAACUGUUGGAAUACAAAUGGCCUAGCUCAAUGGGGGUUGGGAGUGACCCAUCCAACUGGUGAUCCCAUCCCAGCCACCACAGAUCUACCAUCUCUUCACUGGGCCUGCUGAAGUCAGCCUUGUCUGCAUCCAGGGGCAGCUCUAGUGGGCUUGCCCAGUAUCCCAGGCAUGUGCAACACUUCCACCUAACUCAAACCACAUGCAGAGGAUCAUGUCAUACUUGGCGCAUAACCAAUCGAGAAAGGCAUCAGAGGGUGUCCAGACCUCAGCUUGUUUGAACAAAUGUUCAAAAAACAUUUCUGAAGGGAUAUUCCAGAAAAACAUACUCACUCAAGGUCUUAAAACAGAUGUCCAGGCUCUAGGAUUGGGUUGCUUUGCAGCUACUAUUAUCAACUACAAUAAAGCAGGACCAGAUCAUUUUAGGCUUGAACUAGGGUGUAUGUUUAGCUUUCUUUUGCAUGUUUAUUGUUGGCCAUGAGAGGAUGUGUCAGAGGGCAGAACAUAAUGCCGAGAAGCAGCAAGCUAUUGUGAUUCACUCUCUGGCACCCGAGUCAAGCAGGCAAAGGCUUUGACCCCUGACUAGCUUGGUGUGUUAACCUAUCGUAGUCUUGCUUUGUUUAGCUACAAAGCUAAUGGCAACAUUGCUGACUUAUUACUUUUGUCAAGAGGACUAAAAAUAUAUUACAUAUAUAGUGUAUAACAUGGAUUAAGCACCCAGCCAGUACAGCACUGUUAUUAACACUAUCACCAACAGAGCCUGAAUAUUUAGUUUAGCUGCUACUUUUAUACUAUUAACACUACUGCUGCUGCUCUCUCUAGGACAGCUCCCCAAAUUACUUGGGGAGCUGAAGAGGGCCUCAGCUUUGUUCUUUAGUCUAUGGAGAAGGUAAGCAUACCAAGGAAGAAUACUGACAGACUUCUAGCUUAAAAAGAAGAGAAAGAGAGCAGGGCAGAGCUCUUGUAGUUUAUUUUCCUUAUCUCAGACCAAAGCCCUUCCAUCCUUCAUUAGUUUGCUAUGUAACCUAGCUCCAACCACUUUAGAUAAUUGUGUUUCACUACUUAGCCUUGAAAAUGAAACCCUGUGGCACUUGUUUGCAGACAAGCUGACCUGUAUCAGAGGCCUAGUCUUUGAAUGGAAUAUACAUGAGCAACUGGCUCAAAAGAGGCAAGGCACUAACUUCUUUUAAUGACUCUAAGCUACCCAGCUCACAAUCCAGAUGUAUGUUACAGCCAUCACCAUAAUCUUUGUUAGCUCCUGGCAAACAAUGACAUCCUGGUCUUACUGCUGGAAGGAAAACUUUCUAUACAGCUAUUAUUUGUAUUUCACUCUUUCAUUAAUACUUGCUGUGCCAUGAUAGCUAUUUUAUUUUACUUUGUGUUGGGGAUAUGAUCCCAGGGACAUGUAAAUGCUAGGCAAGUGCUCUAUCACUAAGCUACACCCCAAGAUGGAUCCAUAAUAACUCUUUAAGGAAGUUCAUCCAUCUAUUUAUUCAUCAACACCUCUCCCAACAUCCAUCCACCUGUCAUUCAACAGGUAUUUACUGAGCAAUGAUAACAUCCAAAACAUGGUUGUAGGUGCUAGAAAUAAGGCAGGGAACUGCUGUUAUGAAGUUUAGAAUCUAGCUUCCUAGUCUCGCCAAAUAUGGCAUACCAUGCAAAUUCACUGGAAAAACUUAAACUAGACUUUUGGAACCAAUUUUAGUCAGCCCUUUUCAACUGGACAUGUCUUUUAGGGUGCUUGGGUGGAGAGUGAGGAACUGUCUUGCAUCCAGCCUGAGAAAAAGGUUCUGAGGAUGGCCUGGGACAGGGCUUUAGUAACAAUGUGGCUGCAUUUUGAUUUCUAAGAUUAAUCUGGUUGAUACAAAUUGUAUACUUACUAUGCUGAAUGACUAAAUUUUGAACUGUGAGAAGAAAACCAUGUAAUUUUGUUAUUGUCUCACUCAUAAACUGGCUCAGAAGGCAGCUCUCAAAGCAGCUUUUCAAAAAUAUUCUGAAAAAUGGCAACAUAAGAACAUAUUCGCAAGGGGCUGCUUCAGACAGUUCAGUACAUAUCUGAGUGUACAAACCUUGGUCUAUUAAAAAUAUACAUUGCCAGUAGCUCAUUUAUACAAAACAGUAAAAAGAAAGAAUUGUAGAUCCAAAUUUUAAUUCAAUUAUUGAAAUAUUUAUGUAUUAUAUAUUUGGAUAUAUUACUGCCAUACAAUUAAUUCACUUUAAAAUCAUGAAAGAAAUUUUUCUUUGCAUUAGUUUUUUUCACCCAGUUCAUCCUUAGUCUUCUGUAUGUGAAUCUUUGAAGUGAACACCACAGCUAUUAAGUCAUUGUCUGUUUUUCUAUAUCAAAGUGAAUCUUCCCAUUACGUGAUAUGCCUACAGAAAUGCUACCUUCUGCUUUGAAGCCAUUGUAUGAUAAAAUUAACAUGUAAUUUUUUGCAGCAGAAUGUUAAAUCAGGAAUUGUAAACAAUUCCUAGGCAAUGUGUAUAAUGUUGGUAAGUCAUUCCUAGAAAUUGUUCACAAUGCCUGUAACAUAUAUGCAGCUAGCAAGAUACCUGAAAUACAUAGGAAGCCUUCAAGAAGCUAACUGCCAUUCCUAGGACAUCUGUGGAUCAUGAACUUUUUUGUAAUCAAUUCUACUUAUUUAUCUGUUAAAAUAAAUUACCUGAAAUACAUAGGAAGCCUUCAAGAAGCUAACUGCCAUUCCUAGGACAUCUGUGGAUCAUGAACUUUUUUGUAAUCAAUUCUAUUUAUUUAUCUGUUAAUUUAUCUAGAUGUUAAUAAUUCUGAUAAUAGUAGUACUACUUGAUUUUCAUAGCUCCCAAGGAUUUCUGCAAUUUUCCCAGUAAUUUGGUGAUACAGCAAGGUAUUGGACAUGCUUAUUUUAAGAGGCAUUAGAAAAAACAAUAAUUAGGAGUAAAGGCAAUUAUACUUGUCAGGUGAGCUAAGGCCCUGUCUAAACUUUCUUAUUGCUUUACAGAGCUUUAGGCAAAGCUUCAUUGCCUUUCUCCUAGCUCACUUCCAACCAGUUUUUGAUAUUCUAAUUCUUUUGGGCUUUCCCAAGUCAUGCCAAAAACUUAAUUAUUUUUAUCAAUCUUACUCUGUCAUGAAAGUUUCUUGCCUUUUCCUGUUCAGUUAUCUGCUAAUGGAACUUGAUAUUCACAUAAUGUAGUUGCUUAAUUUAUGUACUCAAUUCCUAUUUGUAUUUAUUCAUUUUCAUUUAGUGGUUUGAAAUGAUCUACCUAUUGGUUUAUAUCAGCAUGGUGUGGGUUAUAUCUAUGUAACUACUUUACAUCGAUUAGGUAUGAAAGUAAAAUGUUGAAUGAGUUUUGGCCUUGAGUGUUAUGAUCAUAUCAAGUCACUGAUUGGGAUUCUUUGCAUGUAUACAGUAAAAUGAAUUUGCUUGACUUCUAAUUGACUAGCAAAGAUGGACUAUCCUUGGAGCCCACUCAGAUGAAGUCAGGGAAUGAGAUGGCUAGAUCAAGGGAUAUCAAAAGAUUGGGCAAAGACUUUUGAUAAUUGAUCUCAGAAUCUAGUACUGGUGUCAAGGAAAUGACCAAUGUUGUGGGAUACAGCUGAGCAAUAUUUUAGAGUCAUACAAAUGGUCCUUUAAUUUGCUUAGAUGAUGACUCUCACCCAAAUCUAAUCCCCACUGUAUCCAGAUAUGACCCAUCUCUCAAGGCCCACCUCAACCUAGUGUGUUAAAGUCUAACUCGUUGUAUUGGUUCUCUCCUGUGUAUCUUCUUUGAAUGCCUCUAGACCUUUAAGGACAUUUUGUCUCUCAAACUGAAUUGCACUAAUCUAAUUAUGUACUGUGUAUAUUUCAUGGAUGCCUUACACUUACGGUGACCGUAUUUUCUAACCAAAAAUUAGAACAUAUCAUCUGAAAAUUUAGGUGGGUAUUUGAAAUGAGCAGUCCUCUGGAAAACACAUGUUUAUGCCCUUCUGUGUCUCUCACCUAUUAAACAGUCAGCAUUAACUAAGAUGUUAGGAAGACAAAGAAAGACAGAAGGUAACAUCUACCAAGUGGCAAGUAAAUGACACAGAUAUUUUUGGAGUAUCUAGUAUAGGCAGGAAUAGCUUAAGUGCUUUGUUACUGUGCCUUAGAAAUAAUGUAUUGGUUCUGAAAUAAACAAAAAUGUAAGAAAAGAAAAGGGAUAACCGGUAGUGAGACAUGCCAUAGAUGGAUUGUAUCAUACAAUCCAGCAUGUAAGAGAAGUCUCAAAAGAGGAGGCCCUGUGGUCAGAAUGACAAACAUAAAAGUUUUUCACUGAAGUUCUUAAAGGUACAAUUAAAUUUUUAAAACUAAAUUCUGGGAGGUUUUACAUAACACAUGAGAAAUAAAUUUAGGGAAAUUAUAAUGGUGAAGAAAUAGAGAAUACAGCUGAGAAUGCAGCUUGGAGAAGAGUUUAGCUUCAUUUAGGGGCUGAGUAGUAAGGUUUGCUCCUGACUCAUUAAUAGAGACUAGUAAAGUAAUCUUUUAUAGGAAAAACAAGCAUGUAAAGUUACCCACAUAAAACUUCUUGACUAACUUGGCGUUAUCUGUGUGUAGACUCCUCCAUGUUAAGUUCUGUAGAACAUCAAGAAAGAGACUGACUAGGAUUAGUAGAGCCAAGGGCUUUUGAAUAUGCAACUUUUAUGAAUUAGUAUGGUUUAUGUCUGUUGUGAGCCCAUGAAGACAGAGGGAAAAGUACUGCUUCUUUUUCUUGCAAUGGAAAGCCACUUAAUGUUGACUUGAUACUGCUUUUCCUCUAAGGUACCUAUCUUUUUCUGCCUCAUCUUCAUUUUUACUUUCUUCCAUUUUAUGUCUAGCUGAGACUGAAUUAAAGGACAGGACAUAAGCUAAUUGACAUUGUUGGUUCUGGCCAUGACAGUUUCUCUCAUCCAAGUACUGACCAGGCCCAUCCUGCUUAGCUUCCAAAAUCAAACAAGAUCGGCUGUAUUCAGGUAUUGUGUUUCCUAGUUCUCACAGGUAGACUUGUCUGUAACUCUGUGUACCUGUUAUUUUGGCUUUUUAGUGUGGGAUUCCAUUUUGAAUUGGUUUGUUGUUUGUGAAGUAUGGUAUCUAGCAGUAGACCAUUGAUAUCAAGUAUUGUCUUUCUCUCUCCCCGCCCUCCCUUCUUCUCUCUUAUUUUCUUUUGAGACAGACCUUAUAUGCAUUAGGCAGGCCUCUAAUUCCCUGAGUAACCAAUGCUGACUAUACUCCUGUUAUUUCUGCCUUUACCCCUCAGAUUUUGCCAAUGCUGGGAUUACAGGAGAUACUCCCAUGCCCAGCAUACGCAUUGUCUUAACAGCUUAGAAUAGAAUAUAAAUACUGGCUCACUAAUGAACAUUAUGCUUUUGUUCAUGCAAUCUAACUUUAUAUUUGUAUCUUGAAUGCUUCAUGUUUCAUCUUGAACUCAGAAUGAAAGACCUUGGCCUUAGUCUUCACAUUCUUUGGUGUUGCAAAGUGAAGCUUCCUGGUCCAAUCUUUUCACUCUUUAAACCACAUGUGAGGCCUGAUAUAUAGAACAAGAUUUUGGAAUUGUGUAGAAAUGUUUAAGGCCAAAAAAUCUCCCAAAUGCAAAGCCAUUUCUCAGGCUGUCUGACAAGCAAACAAUUGAUGGAACCUUUUUUUAGGUCUUUGAUAUUUUUUCCUACUUGCCACACCUCAUUCCUUAAUUUGAACCUUCAGAUGCAUUCUGGUUUUGCCAUAAUUACUUUGACUAAAAUCUUCUGACUCCAGUUUCUCUAUACCUCUCUGCUAUGAGCCUUGGGUUUCUUCCCUUCUGAACAUGUUCAAAACCAUGAAGCAGUUUACUGUUAUUCGUUUCCUCUCUGAAAAUGAAAAGGUAGCUGUGCCAGAUAAUGCCAAAUGAAUGGGAACAUUAGCUCCAGGGUGUAGGUAGAUUACUUACAGGGUUAGUAAGGAUGAGUAUGUUGGAGUUAGCCACUCCCAGGCUUUCACCAGAGGCUCAUCUAAUCGGAUAGCUCCUCAGGAGGGUGAGUCAGAAGGAAUUACUAUAGCAUGAUUGAGAAUUACUGAAAUCCUAAUGAAAGUUCAGCCGGGCAGAUCAGCUGAAGGGAACUGGUCUUUGCUGGCAUCCAAGGAAACUAGGGAUUUGACCAGGGUGAAGAACUUCUUGGCUAUGGAGGAAUGAGUAAGGGUUAACAAAGCCCUACACAUGGUUUUACCAAAAGACUAGCACUGUACAUAUGACAGGCCCAUUCUCUUCUAGUGUUCUCUGCCUGAGAGGCAAGGCAAGAUAAACACCUGAAUCUUUUGAGAUGGAUGUCUAAGUUCUGUUAUGACAUCUCUCAUACAGCAUAUCUAAUGAGUCAGAUUCUCUCUGCAAUUAUUUCAAGAUAUUACUUGGGAGCAAGACAAAAGAGUUACAGAGCCUGUUCUUCAUUCCUCUCUUCUUGGAACAGCCAUAUACCCUGUGUUCAUACUGUCCACCAUCUUCCAUCUGUUCCUCCAACACUCACCCUUACCCCUGUAACAGAGGGCAGGUUUGAAAGAUAUGUUCUUGAAGAAUAACAUCUUUCCCAGAAACCUCAUCGCAGAAACAAUUGGCCAGGUAGCCCGCCUCUGUCCAGUUUGUUGGAAGAAAUGCUGAGGUUUCCAGUAUUACUAUCCACUGGAGACUGGGCAGAACUGGGAAGUAGCUUUCCCUAGCAGAAGUAUUGCAUUAGGAAACACUUUGCUUGGAAGUUAAGGUGAGAAAUCAUCAGGCAAGAAAAUGGUAUGUUCUUAGGAUCCAAAACAACUAUAAAGUCACUUUUCCCAAAAGGUACAUUGCAUUAUUUCUUGGACUGUUGUAUUAUGGGGGUGGCAGUGGGAGGGGGUGGAGCUAGGAUGAGUAAGAGUUUUGGAACAUAAACCCCUACAGUUUUUCCAUUUUCUGUCUAGCUGAGAUGGAAUUAAGAAACAAAAAAUUAAACUACUUCAAGUAGCUCCCCCAGAAUAUUUUCAAUUCUAUUAUCUUUUAAAAUAAUCUAAUGAGAGUGUAUAUUUAACCUCUUCCUUCUGAAAACUUGAACUCCUUGCUUCACAGGAUGUGAUAAAUUCAAGUUCCAUGAGAUUAAAGGGAACUACAGAAUACUUAUCUGGUGUUCUACUUUCUUUCCUUCCUCUUAACAUACCCCUUUGUUGUUCAUUUUAUGUAAAGACAUCUUAGGAAUAUGACUAAUACUCAUAAAAGAAUGUAGAAGCCACUGAGUGAAGCUAUCUUAAGGGGGUUUGGAAGAGAGCGUAAUGGAAUACGUGUGAUUAAAAAUCAGAAUAGGCAAACCAUGUGGGGAAAGGAAGAGAGCCAGCCAGAGUGGGUAGAGUAGACGGGAAGGGGAAUAAGAACAAAGCAUAAUGCUACAUAGCAAAAACGCCAUAAUGAAGCCCAUUACUUUAUAUGCUAAGUGAAAAUUUAAUUUAGAAAGAAUGUAAAUGUUGACAACAAAGUACGUGAGUUUCAAAUAUUAGCUCAGCUCAGAUACUUAUUGUGACCAUGGAUAAUAUACUUAAUUUUCUUAUAGCUUAAUUUCCUUGAUUGUAGAGAUAAUAAGACCUAUCUUUUGAAGUUACUGGGUUAAUUAAAAGUGUGUCUUUUUGUCCCCCUUCAAAUAUAGACAUAUACAUAGGAUCGGCGCUUGGAUGCUCUGUUCUUAUUAGGUCUAUUUUGAUCAUUCAAGUUGGGCACAACUCUGUCUGAGGGAGAGGAAAUCGAAAAUAUGGUUUCUUGAAACCCCUUUCAAAUGAAUAAUUCUGGGUCUUUUAGAAAAACCCAGGUUGGGACUGACAGAUGGCUCAGGUGGGUAACAGUGCUUGAUACUAAGCCCGAUGACCUGAGUUCCAUCCUUAGGACCCAUAUGGUAGAAGGAAAGAACCAACUGCCACAUUAUGUCCUCUAACCCCCACACAUGUCUCCUCCCACAAAUCAAUAAGAAAAAUGAAAUGCUUUUGUAAUUAGAAAAAUCUAGGUUUUAUGUCUAAAUAUGUAUUUAAGAAGAAUUAUUUAGGGCUGAGGAUAUAUAAUUCUGUGCUAGAACACUUGGUAUUCACAAGGCCCUCUCAGUACCAUCCCCCAAUACAAACACACACACACACACACACACACACAGAGAGAGAGAGAGAGAGAGAGAGAGAGAGAGAGAAAGAGAAAGAGAAAGAGAAAGAGAGAGAGAAAAUAAAAAAGGAAAGAAUUGAUUAUUAGUGAUUUUUCUUGAAUGCCUAAAAUAGCUCCACAUCUAGUUUAAGGUGUAUGACACAGCACAUUUUCAUUAUGCAUUUCUUGAAAUGAAGAAUGAAUGAAUUAUGAAACUUAAUAUAUUACUGAUUCUAUCUGUUACAUGAGUUUUAAAAAUAUGUUGAGGCUAAGUAUAUUCUUAUAGUAGUGAUGGAGGAUGGUGUAGCAUACCUUGUGGUGGAGAGAAAGAGCUCAAUUAGAAGAAAAGAGUGGGUUUUAAUUUCAGUUUUGCUAUCACCACUUAGGUAUGAUCAAGCAGUCACCACAUCUCUUAAGUCCUCAUUAACUUAUACACUAAGGUAAGGCUAAUAGUACUUAUGAUACUUCUUUCUACAAUGGUGGCACCUUGUUCUUAUUGGUACUCUAGACAACCCAUUUUUAUAGAGGAGUUCUCAGGCACCCCUACUUUGAUAUUCUUUCUGAUUUUCCCUCUCUCGGAAGCCAUUACUUGCCUAAACCUCCAUAUCAUGCUUCCCAAAGACAUUUUAAAACUCUUGGGAAUGUGGAAACAGUGCAGGUGUGUGUAGGGGUGUCUAGGUACUUUAUUGGGAUGGGUUUAUACGCAGACUCUAAGACCAAACCUAGGCUUGGGAGAAUGAUAUCAGCUCAGAGUAUAGAAAAGACAGGGGGUAAAGAAGAUGAGGGGCAAUCCCUAAAAACCAACAGGACAAACUACCAACCAAGUCACAAAAGCCACAGCUAGGCAAGGCAGUAUGGGGAUGACAUGAGCAAUUAAGAACCUCUGUCACACAGCAUGCAGAGCUGUUGUAUAUGCUGCACGAACACAAACAGAAAGAGGAGUUUGGAGAGAGUGAGGGGAGAUGAAGAUGGAGUGAAAAUUUUGAAGCAGUUAUGCUGAGGAUACUGCAUGAAUGCAGCUCAGAAUGGAAAGAGAAAAAUAGAAGCCAUGUGAGACAUAGACACCAAUCAGGAUGUGAUACUGCAUUGCACAGUUUUCCUGAAACACCAAAAACAUAGGGUGGGCACCAUGUCAAAAUCUGCAAAUAGAGACAGGCUAAUAGAGACAAAGGGGUGAAGGCUACAAUACAAUAUCAAAUUCUGGAAAUACUGGAGCUUGUGGGCACGCCAAAAUACAGGGGAAAGGGCUGCCAAUAACCAUUCUGGAAAGAGAAAUGGGAUAAUGGGAUGAACACAAUCUGGGCCACUGGUUAGGCCAUGAAAUGAUGGAGAAAUGCCAGUUCAGGAAGUCUAUGCAUUAUGAAGUAAGGUACAGGUAUAUGCCAGCCACAGCAGGAACAAAAUUACAGUUAGGACAUUGCAAGUGAAAUAAUGUUAUGGUUGCUGGUCAACGCAACAUGAGGAACUGUAUUACACGGUGCCAGGUGCUGGAGCUGUUGAAACCCACUCACUGCCUUUUGGCUGUGAGGAAGUUGGGUGAGAGUCUGGCCACUCUUCUGAAUUGAAACGUGAAGGCCAUUUGCCCACAGCAAGGUCUCUGUCCUGGGUGGGUGGGGACAUCGGUGGGGGAUGAACAUAUCUGGGUUACCGCUGAGUCUUGCGUGUUGCACAGGCUCCAGAAUCCUGGAAGAGUCUUCCCCAGAUGCAUUGGGUGACUUCGGUGAAAAGAAAGCUAUAGCCUAUUUCCAAGGAUGGUCUGAUUGUGAGCAAUAGGAUCCCAGUUGGUUCAGAUUGAUCAGAUUUGGGGAUAAUGUGGAUAUAGAACUAAAACAAAGUGGCUAGGUUCAUGAAACUGUGUGACACCAGCAGGGCCUAAGAAUGGGGGACAGGGUCAUGGGGAUAUAUGUACUCCACCCUCUCUAAUGGGUUGCGUAAAUAGUUGGUGGAAAUUAGAUAAGGUUGGGAAGGGUUGAAUGCAUGAGCACAAUGGGCCCCAAGCCUCAUAGCUGGGCGGCCUGGUGCACAUUGCAAACAGGCCUCUGAGCUGUGGUGGUUGGUGGCCAGCAUUAUUCUCACUUGUUCCCAGCCCAAUGUACAUUCACGUAGAACCUGUGUCCCCACAGCCUCGAAUUUGCCCCUUGCUGGACUAGAGCUCAAAGUGUGCAUAUCUAUCCAGAUGUAGAGUGUGGGUCCGGGGCCUGUGACGGGAGCUGUGGGCAUCCUCAUUUUGCUGGAAUGGAUCACAGGCUGUGGGAAAUCUGCCUUGGCCUGGGACUAUGGAAUUGUAUGAGAAGAUCAGGAUUGGGGCACUCACUGCUCUCUUGUCUUGAUCCUGGAGAGAAACAUCGGGUAUCUCCCAAGAGUCUGUGUGAGAAAUCAAGGUCUAGACCGCUUCAAGGCUCAGCUGGUGAGGACCCUGCAUGAUGCCCGCCCUUUCUGCUCAUCCCAGUAGGGAAGGAUGACUGUGGCAAGUUAGCCUGUCACCAGGAUAGGAUGUUGCCAAGGAAUUUUGAGAACACAUCUAUGUGAACUAUGUGCAUGCUGUGAGCAGGAAGUGAAUGGACAAGGAUCCAUGAAAUACUGUCAUGCAGACUACAAGAUUCCAGCUACGCCGAGCAAGUAGUGAAUUUUGGAUAUGGAGGUGUCGUUCACUCACUGUUCCCACACAGGACUCUUUGGAAUGGGGACCGCAUCAACUUGGCCUAUGAGAGCAUGUCAAAUAGUAUGAUAAUUCUUGUAAUCUGGGGCACUAACUUUGCCUGCUGUUGUAAAGUCCACAGAGACCUUGUCUCCUGGCAGUGGUUCUUAUCCUGUGGUUAGCGACCAUCCAAAAGUCCACUGGCACAAAAGAAAUUUCUGCUAAAAGUCAUAGCAGAAGCACAAUUACUAUUAGGAUGCCGCAAGUAAAAUAAUUUUUAGGUUGGUAGUCAACAAAACAUGAGGAACUGUAUUAGAGGUUGCCAGGUGGUGGAGCUGUUGAAACCCACUCACUGCCUAUUGGCUGUGAGGGAGCUGGGUACAGUCUGGCCACUCUUCCUAAUUGAAAAGUGAAGGCCAUUUGCCUACAGCAAGGUCUUUGUGCUGGGUGGGUGGAUACAUUCGUGGCAGAAGAACAUAUCUGGGUCACCGCUGAAUCUUGGGUGUUGCACAGGCAACUAGACACUGGAAGAGGCAUCCCCAGAUGCCGUGGGUGACAUGGUUGAAAGAAAAACUACAGUCCAUCUUUGAGGAUGGUCAGUAUGUUAUCAAUGAGAUCUAAGUUGGUUCAGAUUGAACAAUUUUGGGGAUAAUAUAGAGCUAUAACAACUAGUCAUGUCCAUGAAACUGUGAAACACCAGCAGGGCCAAAGACUCGGAGACAGGGCCAUGGAGAUAUUUGUGUGCCAACCUUUCUAAUGGUUUUCUUAAAUAGUUGGUAGAAAUUAGGAAACCUUGUGAAGUUUUGAAUGCAUGAGCAUGAUGGACCCAAAGCCCCAUAGCUGGGGGCCAGGUACACCUUGUGGGUCAUCCUGGAAUGCCUCUAAGCUGUGGUGGUGAACAGCAUUAAUCUGUCACUGAACCAGAAAAAUGUAGUGGCAGCUACAACCUGCGUCACCAGAGAGUCUCUGGACUGUGACAUAAAUAAGGAGUAUGUGCCAGCCUAAAUCUCGCCCCUUGCAGAAUGAGAGCUCAAAUGUGCAUGUCAAUCCAGAUGUGGAGAGUGGGACCGUGGCCUGUGACUGGAACUGUGGGCAUCUUCACUUUGCUGGAAUGUAACACAGGCAAUGGCAGAUGUGGCCAAGUCUGGAAAUAUGGAAUUCUAUGAGGAGCUCAGGAGCUGAGGCACUCAAUGCUCUCAUGUUUAUAAGUGGAGAAUAACAAUGGGUGUCCCCCAAGAGCCUAUGUGGGAAAGGCAAGGUAUAGACCGCUUCAAGCCUCAGCUGGUGUGGAGCCUGCAUGAUGCCCGCCCUGCUCAUCCCAGUAGGGAAGGGUGACUUUGGCAGGACAGGAUGUUUCCCAGACCUUUUUGAUGCCACAUCCAUGUGAAGUAUGGGCUUGAUGUGAGGAGGCAAAUGGAUAGACCAGAAUCCAUGAAAUACUGGCAUGCAGGCUACAAGAUUCCAGCUAAGCCUUGCAAUGUAGUGAAAUAUGGGUGGGGAGGUGUCAUCCACUCACUGUUCCCACACAAGACACUUUGGAAUGGGGACUGCAACAACUUAGCCUAAUAGGGCAUGCCAAAUAGUAUGAUAAUUCAUGAUAUCUGGGGCACUACUUUUGCCCGCUGUAAUAAAGUCAACAGAGACCUUGUUUCAUGGCAGUGGUUCCUAUUCUAUGGUUAGCGAUCCACCAAAAGUCUACUGGCGCAAAAGAAAUUUCUGCUAGGAGACAUAGCAGAAGGAAAAUUGCAAUUAGUAUGUCGCCAGUGAAAUAAUUUUUGGUUGGUAGUCAACACAACCUGAGGAACUGUAUUAGAAGGUGCCAGGUGGUGGAGCUGUUGAAACCAACUUACUGCCAAUUGGCUGUGACGAAGUUGGGUACAGUCUGGCCGCUCUUCCUAAUUGAAAAGUGAAGGCCAAUUGCCGACAGCAAGGUCUCUGUCCUGGGUGGGUGGAGACAUUCGUGGCAGAAGAACAUAUCUGGGUCACUGCUGAGUCUUGGGUGUUACACAGGCACCUGGACCCUGGAAGAGGCAUGCCCAGAUGCAGAGGGUGCAUGGUUGAAAGAAAAACUACAGUCCAACUUUGAGGAUGCUCAAAAUGUUAUCAAUGAGAUCCCAGUGGGUUCAGAUUGAUCAAAUUUGGGGAUAAUAUAGAGCUGUAACAACUAGUCAUGUCCAUGAAAUUGUGCAACACCAGCAGGGCCAAAGACUCGGAGACAGGGCUAUGGGGAUAUAUUUCUGCCACCCUUUCUAAUUGUUUUCUUAAAUAGUUGGUGGAUAUUAGGAAACCUUAAGAAGUUUUGAAUGCAUGAGCAUGAUGGACCAAAAGCCCCAUAGCUGGGGGCAUGGUGCACCUUGUGUGGCAUCCUGGAAAGCCUCUAAGCUGUGGUGGUGAACAGCAUUAAUCUGUCACUGAACCAGAAAAAUAUAGUGGCAGCUACAACCUUCGUCCCCAGAUAGUCUCUGCACUGUGUUGUCAGUGAUGAGUAUGUGCCAGCCUAAAACUCGCCCCUUGCUGAAAUAGAGCUCAAAGUGUGAAUGUCAAUCCAGAUGUGGAGAGUAGACCGUGGCAUGUGACGGGAACUGUGGGCAUCAACACUUUGCUGGAAUGGAACACAGGCUAUGGGAGAUGUGCCCAAGCCUGGAACUAUGGAAUUCUAUGAGGAGCUCAGGAGUUGAGGCACACAAUGCUCUCAUGUUUAUAAGUGGAGAGUAACAAUGGGUGUCCCCCAAGAGCCUGUGUGGGAAAGGCAAGGUCUAGACCGCUUCUAUCCUCAGCUGGUGUGGAGCCUGCAUGAUGGCCGCCCUUUCUGCUCAUCCCAGUGGGGAAGGGUGACUUUGGCAGGACAGGAUGUUGCCCAGGCGUCUUUGAUGCCACAUCCAUGUGAAGUAGGGGCAUGCUGUGAGGAGGCAAAUGAAUGGACUAGAAUCCAUGAGAUACUGGCAUGCAGGCUACAAGAUUCCAGCUAUGCCUGGCAAUGGAGCCAAAUUUGUGUGGGGAGGUGUCGUUCACUCACUGUUCCCACACAGGACACUUUGGAAUGGGGUCCACUUCAACUUGGCCUAUUAGGGCGUGUUAAAUAGUAUGAUGAUUCAUGUGAUCUGGGACACUAACUUUGCCUGCUGUUGUAAAGUCAACAGAGACCUUGUGUCCUGGCAGUUUUUCCUAUCUUGUGGUUAGCGACCCUCCAAAAGUCCACCAGCGCAAAAGAAAUUUUUGCUAGGAGGCAUAACCCAAGCAAAAUUACAAUUAGGAUGUCACAAGUAAAAUAAUUUUUUGGUUGGUAGUCAACACAACCUGAGGAACUGUUUUAGAGGUUGCCAAUGGUGGAGCUGUUGAAGCCCACUCACUGCCUCUUGGCUGUGAUGAAUGUGGGUACAGUCUGGCUGCUCUUCCUAAUUGAAAAGUGAAGGCAAUUUGCCAACAGCAAGGUCUCUGUCCUGGCUGGAUGUAGACAUUCGUGUCAGAUGAACAUAUCUGGGUCACUGCUGAGUCUCUGGUGUUGCACAGGCACCUGGACCCUGGAAGAGGCAUCCCCAGAUGCCGAGGGUGAUAUGGUUCAAAGAAAAAUUACAGUCCAUCUUUGAGGAUGGUCAGUAUGUUAUCAAUGAGAUCUAAGUUGGUUCAGAUUGAUCAAAUUUGGGGAUAAUAUAGAGCUGUAACAACUAGUUAUGUCCAUGAAACUGUGCAACACCAGCACGGCCAAAGACUCGGAAACAGGGCCAUGGAGAUAUAUGUGUGCCACCCUUUCUAAUGAUUUUCAUAAAUAGUUGGUGGAAAUUAGGAAACCUUGUGAAGUUUUGAAUGUAUGAGCAUGAUGGACUCAAAGCCCCAUAGCUGGGGGCCCAGGGACACCUUGUGUGGCAUCCUGGAAAGCCUCUAAGCUGUGGUGGUGAACAGCAUUAAUCUGUCACUGAACCAGAAAAAUGUAGUGGCAGCUACAACCUGCGUCGCCAGAUAGUCUCUGAACUGUGUUGUCAGUGAUGAGUAUGUGCUAGCCUAAAACUCGCCCCUUGAUGAAAUAGAGCUCAAAGUGUGCAUGUCAAUCCAGAUGUGGAGAGUGGGACUGUGGCCUGUGACGGUAGCUGUGGGCAUCGUCACUUUGAUGGAAUGGAACACAGGCUAUGGGAGAUGUGGCCAAGUCUGGAAAUAUGGAAUUCUAUGAGGAGCUCAGGAGCUGAGGCACACAAUGCUCUCAUGGUUAUAAGUGGAGAGUAACAAUGGGUGUCCCCCAAGAGCCUGUGUGGGAAAGGCAAGGUCUAGACUGCUUCUAUCCUCAGCUGGUGUGGAGCUUGCAUGAUGGCCGCCCUUUCUGCUCAUCCCACUGGGUAAGGGUGACUUUGGCAGGACAGGAUGUUGCCCAGGCGUCUUUGAUGCCACAUCCAUGUGAAGUAUGGGCAUGCUGUGAGGAGGCAAAUGAAUAGACUAGAAUCCAUGAGAUACUGACAUGCAGGCUACAAAAUUCCAGCUAUGCCUGGCAAUGGAGCCAAAUUUGUGUGGGGAGGUGUCGUUCACUCACUGUUCCCACACAGGACUCUUUGGAAUUGGGACCGCAUCAACUUGGCCUAUUAGGGCGUGUCAAAUAGUAUGAUAAUUCAUGUGAUCUGGGACACUAACUUUGCCUGCUGUUGUAAAGUCAACAGAGACCUUGUUUCAUGGCAGUUGGUCCUAUCCUGUGGUUAGCGAUCCUCCAAAAGUCUCCGGUGCAAAAGGAAUUUCUGCUAGGAGACAUAGCAGAAGGAAAGUUGCAAUUAGUAUGUCGCAUGUAAAAUAAUUUUUUGGUUGGUAGUCAACACAACCUGAGGAACUGUAUUAGAAGGUGCCAGGUGGUGGAGCUGUUGAAACCAACUUACUGCCAAUUGGCUGUGACGAAGUUGGGUACAGUCUAGCCCCUCUUCCUAAUUGAAAAGUGAAGGCCAUUUGCCGACAGCAAGGUCUCUGUCCUGGGUGGGUGGAGACAUUCGUCGCAGAAGAACAUAUCUGGGUCACUGCUGAGUCUUGGGUGUUGCACAGGCACCUGGACCCUGGAAGAGGCAUCCCCAGAUGCAGAGGGUGACAUGGUUGUAAGAAAAACUACAGUCCAACGGUGAGGAUGCUCAGAAUGUUAUCAAUGAGAUCCCAGUGGGUUAAGACUGAUCAAAUUUGGGGAUAAUAUAAGAGCUGUAACAACUAGUCAUGUCCAUGAAACUGUGCUACACCAGCAGGGCCAAAGACUCAGACACAGGGCCAUGGAGAUAUUUGUGUGCCAACCUUUCUAAUGGUUUACUAAAAUAGUUGGUGGAAAUUAGGAAACCUUGUGAAGUUUUGAAUGCAUGAGCAUGAUCGACCCAAAGCCCCAUAGCUGGGGGGCCAGGUGCACGUUGUGUGGCAUCCUGGAAAGCCUCUAAGCUGUGGUGGUGAACAGCAUUAAUCUGUCACUGAACCAGAAAAAUGUAGUGGCAGCUACAACCUGCGUCGCCAGAUAGUCUCUGAACUGUGUUGUCAGUGAUGAGUAUGUGCCAGCCUAAAACUCGCCCCUUGAUGAAAUAGAGCUCAAAGUGUGCAUGCCAAUCCAGAUGUGGAGGGUGGGACUGUGGCCUGUGACGGGAGCUGUGGGCAUCGUCACUUUGAUGGAAUGGAACACAGGCUAUGGGAGAUGUGGCCAAGUCUGGAAAUAUGGAAUUCUAUGAGGAGCUCAGGAGCUGAGGCACUCAAUGCUCUCAUGUUUAUAAGUGGAGAGUAACAAUGGGUGUCCCCCAAGAGCCUGUGUGGGAAAGGCAAGGUCUAGACCGCUUCUAUCCUCAGCUGGUGUGGAGCCUGCAUGAUGGCCGCCCUUUCUGCUCAUCCCAGUGGGGAAGGGUGACUUUGGCAGGACAGGAUGUUGCCCAGGCGUCUUUGAUGCCACAUCCAUGUGAAGUAUGGGCAUGCUGUGAGGAGGCAAAUGAAUAGACUAGAAUCCAUGAGAUACUGACAUGCAGGCUACAAAAUUCCAGCUAUGCCUGGCAAUGGAGCCAAAUUUGUGUGGGGAGGUGUCGUUCACUCACUGUUCCCACACAGGACUCUUUGGAAUUGGGACCGCAUCAACUUGGCCUAUUAGGGCGUGUCAAAUAGUAUGAUAAUUCAUGUGAUCUGGGGCACUAACUUUGCCUGCUGUUGUAAAGUCAACAGAGACCUUGUUUCAUGGCAGUGGGUCCUAUCCUGUGGUUAGCGAUCCUCCAAAAGUCUCCGGUGCAAAAGGAAUUUCUGCUAGGAGACAUAGCAGAAGGAAAGUUGCAAUUAGUAUGUCGCAUGUAAAAUAAUUUUUUGGUUGGUAGUCAACACAACCUGAGGAACUGUAUUAGAAGGUGCCAGGUGGUGGAGCUGUUGAAACCAACUUACUGCCAAUUGGCUGUGACGAAGUUGGGUACAGUCUAGCCCCUCUUCCUAAUUGAAAAGUGAAGGCCAUUUGCCGACAGCAAGGUCUCUGUCCUGGGUGGGUGGAGACAUUCGUCGCAGAAGAACAUAUCUGGGUCACUGCUGAGUCUUGGGUGUUGCACAGGCACCUGGACCCUGGAAGAGGCAUCCCCAGAUGCAGAGGGUGACAUGGCUGUAAGAAAAACUACAGUCCAACGGUGAGGAUGCUCAGAAUGUUAUCAAUGAGAUCCCAGUGGGUUAAGACUGAUCAAAUUUGGGGAUAAUAUAAGAGCUGUAACAACUAGUCAUGUCCAUGAAACUGUGCUACACCAGCAGGGCCAAAGACUCAGACACAGGGCCAUGGAGAUAUUUGUGUGCCAACCUUUCUAAUGGUUUACUUAAAUAGUUGGUGGAAAUUAGGAAACCUUGUGAAGUUUUGAAUGCAUGAGCAUGAUCGACCCAAAGCCCCAUAGCUGGGGGGCCAGGUGCACGUUGUGUGGCAUCCUGGAAAGCCUCUAAGCUGUGGUGGUGAACAGCAUUAAUCUGUCACUGAACCAGAAAAAUGUAGUGGCAGCUACAACCUGCGUCGCCAGAUAGUCUCUGAACUGUGUUGUCAGUGAUGAGUAUGUGCCAGCCUAAAACUCGCCCCUUGAUGAAAUAGAGCUCAAAGUGUGCAUGCCAAUCCAGAUGUGGAGGGUGGGACUGUGGCCUGUGACGGGAGCUGUGGGCAUCGUCACUUUGAUGGAAUGGAACACAGGCUAUGGGAGAUGUGGCCAAGUCUGGAAAUAUGGAAUUCUAUGAGGAGCUCAGGAGCUGAGGCACUCAAUGCUCUCAUGUUUAUAAGUGGAGAGUAACAAUGGGUGUCCCCCAAGAGCCUGUGUGGGAAAGGCAAGGUCUAGACCGCUUCUAUCCUCAGCUGGUGUGGAGCCUGCAUGAUGGCCGCCCUUUCUGCUCAUCCCAGUGGGGAAGGGUGACUUUGGCAGGACAGGAUGUUGCCCAGGCGUCUUUGAUGCCACAUCCAUGUGAAGUAUGGGCAUGCUGUGAGGAGGCACAUGAUUGGACUAGAAUCCAUGAGAUACUGGCAUGCAGGCUACAAGAUUCCAGCUAUGCCUGGCAAUGGAGCCAAAUUUGUGUGGGGAGGUGUCGUUCACUCACUGUUCCCACACAGGACCCUUUGGAAUGGGGACCACUUCAACUUGGCCUAUUAGGGCAUGUCAAAUAGUGUGAUGAUUCAUGUGAUCUGAGACCCUAACUUUGCCUGCUGUUGUAAAGUCAACAGAGACCUUGUGUCCUGGCAGUUUUUCCUAUCCUGUGGUUAGCGACCCUCCAAAAGUCCACCGGCGCAAAAGAAAUUUUUGCUAGGAGGCAUAGCCCAAGCAAAAUUACAAUUAGGAUGUCGCAAGUAAAAUAAUUUUUUGGUUGGUAGUCAACACAACCUGAGGAACUGUUUUAGAGGUUGUCAGGUGGUGGAGCUGUUGAAGCCCACUCACUGCCUCUUGGCUGUGAUGAAUGUGGGUACAGUCUGGCUGCUCUUCCUAAUUGAAAAGUGAAGGCAAUUUGCCAACAGCAAGGUCUCUGUCCUGGCUGGAUGUAGACAUUCGUGUCAGAUGAACAUAUCUGGGUCACUGCUGAGUCUCUGGUGUUGCACAGGCACCUGGACCCUGGAAGAGGCAUCCCCAGAUGCCGAGGGUGAUAUGGUUCAAAGAAAAAUUACAGUCCAUCUUUGAGGAUGGUCAGUAUGUUAUCAAUGAGAUCUAAGUUGGUUCAGAUUGAUCAAAUUUGGGGAUAAUAUAGAGCUGUAACAACUAGUUAUGUCCAUGAAACUGUGCAACACCAGCACGGCCAAAGACUCGGAAACAGGGCCAUGGAGAUAUAUGUGUGCCACCCUUUCUAAUGAUUUUCAUAAAUAGUUGGUGGAAAUUAGGAAACCUUGUGAAGUUUUGAAUGUAUGAGCAUGAUGGACUCAAAGCCCCUUAGCUGGGGGCCCAGGGACACCUUGUGUGGCAUCCUGGAAAGCCUCUAAGCUGUGGUGGUGAACAGCAUUAAUCUGUCACUGAACCAGAAAAAUGUAGUGGCAGCUACAACCUGCGUCGCCAGAUAGUCUCUGAACUGUGUUGUCAGUGAUGAGUAUGUGCUAGCCUAAAACUCGCCCCUUGAUGAAAUAGAGCUCAAAGUGUGCAUGUCAAUCCAGAUGUGGAGAGUGGGACUGUGGCCUGUGACGGUAGCUGUGGGCAUCGUCACUUUGAUGGAAUGGAACACAGGCUAUGGGAGAUGUGGCCAAGUCUGGAAAUAUGGAAUUCUAUGAGGAGCUCAGGAGCUGAGGCACACAAUGCUCUCAUGGUUAUAAGUGGAGAGUAACAAUGGGUGUCCCCAAGAGCCUGUGUGGGAAAGGCAAGGUCUAGACUGCUUCUAUCCUCAGCUGGUGUGGAGCUUGCAUGAUGGCCGCCCUUUCUGCUCAUCCCACUGGGUAAGGGUGACUUUGGCAGGACAGGAUGUUGCCCAGGCGUCUUUGAUGCCACAUCCAUGUGAAGUAUGGGCAUGCUGUGAGGAGGCAAAUGAAUAGACUAGAAUCCAUGAGAUACUGACAUGCAGGCUACAAAAUUCCAGCUAUGCCUGGCAAUGGAGCCAAAUUUGUGUGGGGAGGUGUCGUUCACUCACUGUUCCCACACAGGACUCUUUGGAAUUGGGACCGCAUCAACUUGGCCUAUUAGGGCGUGUCAAAUAGUAUGAUAAUUCAUGUGAUCUGGGACACUAACUUUGCCUGCUGUUGUAAAGUCAACAGAGACCUUGUUUCAUGGCAGUGGGUCCUAUCCUGUGGUUAGCGAUCCUCCAAAAGUCUCCGGUGCAAAAGGAAUUUCUGCUAGGAGACAUAGCAGAAGGAAAGUUGCAAUUAGUAUGUCGCAUGUAAAAUAAUUUUUUGGUUGGUAGUCAACACAACCUGAGGAACUGUAUUAGAAGGUGCCAGGUGGUGGAGCUGUUGAAACCAACUUACUGCCAAUUGGCUGUGACGAAGUUGGGUACAGUCUAGCCCCUCUUCCUAAUUGAAAAGUGAAGGCCAUUUGCCGACAGCAAGGUCUCUGUCCUGGGUGGGUGGAGACAUUCGUCGCAGAAGAACAUAUCUGGGUCACUGCUGAGUCUUGGGUGUUGCACAGGCACCUGGACCCUGGAAGAGGCAUCCCCAGAUGCAGAGGGUGACAUGGUUGUAAGAAAAACUACAGUCCAACGGUGAGGAUGCUCAGAAUGUUAUCAAUGAGAUCCCAGUGGGUUAAGACUGAUCAAAUUUGGGGAUAAUAUAAGAGCUGUAACAACUAGUCAUGUCCAUGAAACUGUGCUACACCAGCAGGGCCAAAGACUCAGACACAGGGCCAUGGAGAUAUUUGUGUGCCAACCUUUCUAAUGGUUUACUAAAAUAGUUGGUGGAAAUUAGGAAACCUUGUGAAGUUUUGAAUGCAUGAGCAUGAUCGACCCAAAGCCCCAUAGCUGGGGGGCCAGGUGCACGUUGUGUGGCAUCCUGGAAAGCCUCUAAGCUGUGGUGGUGAACAGCAUUAAUCUGUCACUGAACCAGAAAAAUGUAGUGGCAGCUACAACCUGCGUCGCCAGACAGUCUCUGCACUGUGUUGUCAGUGAUGAGUAUGUGCCAGCCUAAAACUCGCCCCUUGCUGAAAUAGAGCUCAAAGUGUGAAUGUCAAUCCAGAUGUGGAGAGUAGACCGUGGCAUGUGACGGGAACUGUGGGCAUCAACACUUUGCUGGAAUGGAACACAGGCUAUGGGAGAUGUGCCCAAGCCUGGAACUAUGGAAUUCUAUGAGGAGCUCAGGAGUUGAGGCACACAAUGCUCUCAUGUUUAUAAGUGGAGAGUAACAAUGGGUGUUCCCCAAGAGCCUGUGUGGGAAAGGCAAGGUCUAGACCGCUUCUAUCCUCAGCUGGUGUGGAGCCUGCAUGAUGGCCGCCCUUUCUGCUCAUCCCAGUGGGGAAGGGUGACUUUGGCAGGACAGGAUGUUGCCCAGGCGUCUUUGAUGCCACAUCCAUGUGAAGUAGGGGCAUGCUGUGAGGAGGCAAAUGAAUGGACUAGAAUCCAUGAGAUACUGGCAUGCAGGCUACAAGAUUCCAGCUAUGCCUGGCAAUGGAGCCAAAUUUGUGUGGGGAGGUGUCGUUCACUCACUGUUCCCACACAGGACACUUUGGAAUGGGGUCCACUUCAACUUGGCCUAUUAGGGCGUGUUAAAUAGUAUGAUGAUUCAUGUGAUCUGGGACACUAACUUUGCCUGCUGUUGUAAAGUCAACAGAGACCUUGUGUCCUGGCAGUUUUUCCUAUCAUGUGGUUAGCGACCCUCCAAAAGUCCACCAGCGCAAAAGAAAUUUUUGCUAGGAGGCAUAACCCAAGCAAAAUUACAAUUAGGAUGUCACAAGUAAAAUAAUUUUUUGGUUGGUAGUCAACACAACCUGAGGAACUGUUUUAGAGGUUGCCAAUGGUGGAGCUGUUGAAGCCCACUCACUGCCUAUUGGCUGUGAUGAAUGUGGGUACAGUCUGGCUGCUCUUCCUAAUUGAAAAGUGAAGGCAAUUUGCCAACAGCAAGGUCUCUGUCCUGGCUGGAUGUAGACAUUCGUGUCAGAUGAACAUAUCUGGGUCACUGCUGAGUCUCUGGUGUUGCACAGGCACCUGGACCCUGGAAGAGGCAUCCCCAGAUGCCGAGGGUGAUAUGGUUCAAAGAAAAAUUACAGUCCAUCUUUGAGGAUGGUCAGUAUGUUAUCAAUGAGAUCUAAGUUGGUUCAGAUUGAUCAAAUUUGGGGAUAAUAUAGAGCUGUAACAACUAGUUAUGUCCAUGAAACUGUGCAACACCAGCACGGCCAAAGACUCGGAAACAGGGCCAUGGAGAUAUAUGUGUGCCACCCUUUCUAAUGAUUUUCAUAAAUAGUUGGUGGAAAUUAGGAAACCUUGUGAAGUUUUGAAUGUAUGAGCAUGAUGGACUCAAAGCCCCAUAGCUGGGGGCCCAGGGACACCUUGUGUGGCAUCCUGGAAAGCCUCUAAGCUGUGGUGGUGAACAGCAUUAAUCUGUCACUGAACCAGAAAAAUGUAGUGGCAGCUACAACCUGCGUCGCCAGAUAGUCUCUGAACUGUGUUGUCAGUGAUGAGUAUGUGCUAGCCUAAAACUCGCCCCUUGAUGAAAUAGAGCUCAAAGUGUGCAUGUCAAUCCAGAUGUGGAGAGUGGGACUGUGGCCUGUGACGGUAGCUGUGGGCAUCGUCACUUUGAUGGAAUGGAACACAGGCUAUGGGAGAUGUGGCCAAGUCUGGAAAUAUGGAAUUCUAUGAGGAGCUCAGGAGCUGAGGCACACAAUGCUCUCAUGGUUAUAAGUGGAGAGUAACAAUGGGUGUCCCCCAAGAGCCUGUGUGGGAAAGGCAAGGUCUAGACUGCUUCUAUCCUCAGCUGGUGUGGAGCUUGCAUGAUGGCCGCCCUUUCUGCUCAUCCCACUGGGUAAGGGUGACUUUGGCAGGACAGGAUGUUGCCCAGGCGUCUUUGAUGCCACAUCCAUGUGAAGUAUGGGCAUGCUGUGAGGAGGCAAAUGAAUAGACUAGAAUCCAUGAGAUACUGACAUGCAGGCUACAAAAUUCCAGCUAUGCCUGGCAAUGGAGCCAAAUUUGUGUGGGGAGGUGUCGUUCACUCACUGUUCCCACACAGGACUCUUUGGAAUUGGGACCGCAUCAACUUGGCCUAUUAGGGCGUGUCAAAUAGUAUGAUAAUUCAUGUGAUCUGGGGCACUAACUUUGCCUGCUGUUGUAAAGUCAACAGAGACCUUGUUUCAUGGCAGUGGGUCCUAUCCUGUGGUUAGCGAUCCUCCAAAAGUCUCCGGUGCAAAAGGAAUUUCUGCUAGGAGACAUAGCAGAAGGAAAGUUGCAAUUAGUAUGUCGCAUGUAAAAUAAUUUUUUGGUUGGUAGUCAACACAACCUGAGGAACUGUAUUAGAAGGUGCCAGGUGGUGGAGCUGUUGAAACCAACUUACUGCCAAUUGGCUGUGACGAAGUUGGGUACAGUCUAGCCCCUCUUCCUAAUUGAAAAGUGAAGGCCAUUUGCCGACAGCAAGGUCUCUGUCCUGGGUGGGUGGAGACAUUCGUCGCAGAAGAACAUAUCUGGGUCACUGCUGAGUCUUGGGUGUUGCACAGGCACCUGGACCCUGGAAGAGGCAUCCCCAGAUGCAGAGGGUGACAUGGCUGUAAGAAAAACUACAGUCCAACGGUGAGGAUGCUCAGAAUGUUAUCAAUGAGAUCCCAGUGGGUUAAGACUGAUCAAAUUUGGGGAUAAUAUAAGAGCUGUAACAACUAGUCAUGUCCAUGAAACUGUGCUACACCAGCAGGGCCAAAGACUCAGACACAGGGCCAUGGAGAUAUUUGUGUGCCAACCUUUCUAAUGGUUUACUUAAAUAGUUGGUGGAAAUUAGGAAACCUUGUGAAGUUUUGAAUGCAUGAGCAUGAUCGACCCAAAGCCCCAUAGCUGGGGGGCCAGGUGCACGUUGUGUGGCAUCCUGGAAAGCCUCUAAGCUGUGGUGGUGAACAGCAUUAAUCUGUCACUGAACCAGAAAAAUGUAGUGGCAGCUACAACCUGCGUCGCCAGAUAGUCUCUGAACUGUGUUGUCAGUGAUGAGUAUGUGCCAGCCUAAAACUCGCCCCUUGAUGAAAUAGAGCUCAAAGUGUGCAUGCCAAUCCAGAUGUGGAGGGUGGGACUGUGGCCUGUGACGGGAGCUGUGGGCAUCGUCACUUUGAUGGAAUGGAACACAGGCUAUGGGAGAUGUGGCCAAGUCUGGAAAUAUGGAAUUCUAUGAGGAGCUCAGGAGCUGAGGCACUCAAUGCUCUCAUGUUUAUAAGUGGAGAGUAACAAUGGGUGUCCCCCAAGAGCCUGUGUGGGAAAGGCAAGGUCUAGACCGCUUCUAUCCUCAGCUGGUGUGGAGCCUGCAUGAUGGCCGCCCUUUCUGCUCAUCCCAGUGGGGAAGGGUGACUUUGGCAGGACAGGAUGUUGCCCAGGCGUCUUUGAUGCCACAUCCAUGUGAAGUAUGGGCAUGCUGUGAGGAGGCAAAUGAAUAGACUAGAAUCCAUGAGAUACUGACAUGCAGGCUACAAAAUUCCAGCUAUGCCUGGCAAUGGAGCCAAAUUUGUGUGGGGAGGUGUCGUUCACUCACUGUUCCCACACAGGACCCUUUGGAAUGGGGACCACUUCAACUUGGCCUAUUAGGGCAUGUCAAAUAGUAUGAUGAUUCCUGUGAUCUGAGACACUAACUUUGCCUGCUGUUGUAAAGUCAACAGAGACCUUGUGUCCUGGCAGUUUUUCCUAUCCUGUGGUUAGCGACCCUCCAAAAGUCCACCGGCGCAAAAGAAAUUUUUGCUAGGAGGCAUAGCCCAAGCAAAAUUACAAUUAGGAUGUCGCAAGUAAAAUAAUUUUUUGGUUGGUAGUCAACACAACCUGAGGAACUGUUUUAGAGGUUGCCAGGUGGUGGAGCUGUUGAUGCCCACUCACUGCCUAUUGGCUGUGAGGAAUGUGGAUACAGUCUGGCCGCUCUUCCUAUUUGAAAAGUGAAGGCCAUUUGCCAACAGCAAGGUCUCUGUCCUGGCUGGAUGUAGACAUUCGUGGCAGAAGAAGAUAUCUGGGUCACUGCUGAGUCUUGGGUGUUGCACAGGCACCUGGACCCUGGAAGAGGCAUCCCCUUUCUGCUCAUCCCAUUAGGGAAGGGUGACUGUGACAUGUUAACCCGUCACCAUGACAGGAUGCUUCCCAGGUUUUUUGAUGCGACAUCCAUGUGAACUAUGGGCUUGCUGUGAGCAGGCAAGUGAAUAGACCAGAAUCCAUGAAAUACUGGCAUGCAGUCUACGAGAUUCCAGCCAUGCCAUGCUAUGUAGGCAAAUUCGCGUGGGGAGGUGUCGUUUAAUCACUGUUCCCACACAGGAAUCUUUGGAAUUGGGACCACAUUAACUUGGCCUAUUAGGGCGUGUCAAAUAGUGUGAUAAUUCAUGUGAUCUGGGGCACUAACUUAGCCCGCUGUUGUAAAUUCAACAGAGACCUUGUCUCAUGGCAGUGGUUCUCAUCCUGUGUGUAUCAGCCCUCCAAAAGACCAUCUGCGCAAAACACAUUCCUGCUAGGAGUCAUACCAGAUGCAAAAAUACAGUUGUCAUGUAGCAAGUAAAAUAAUGUUAUGGUUGCUGGUCAACACAACAUGAGGAACUGUAUUACACGGUGCCAGGUGCUGGAGCUGUUGAAACCCACUCACUGCCUUUUGGCUGUGAGGAAGUUGGGUGAGAGUCUGGCCACUCUUCUGAAUUGAAACGUGAAGGCCAUUUGCCCACAGCAAGGUCUCUGUCCCGGGUGGGUGGGGACAUUGGUGGGGGAUGAACAUAUCUGGGUCACUGAUGAGUCUUAGAUGUUGCACAGGCUCCUGAACCCUGGAAGAGUCUUCCCCAGAUGCAUUGGGUGACUUCAGUGAAAGGAAAGCUAUAGCCUAUAUCCAAGGAUGGUCUGAUUGUGAGCAAUAGGAUCCCAGUUGGUUCAGAUUGAUCAGAUUUGGGGAUAAUGUGGAUAUAGAACUGAAACAAAGUGGCUAGGUUCACGAAACUGUGUAACACCAGUAGGACCUAAGAGUGGGGGACAUAGUCAUGGGGAUAUAUGUACUCCACCCUCUCUAAUGGGUUGCGUAAAUAGUUGGUGGAAAUUAGAUAAGGUUGGGAAGGGUUGAAUGCAUGAGCACAAUGGGCCCCAAGCCUCAUAGCUGGGUGGCCUGGUGCACAUUGCGAACAGGCCUCUGAGCUGUGGUGGUUGGUGGCCAGCAUUAUUCUCACUUCUUCUCAGCCCAAUGUACAUUCACACAGAACCUGUGUCCCCAGCUAGAUAUUUCAAGUGUCAUAAGGGACAGAUAUGUGGCAGCCUGGAUUUUGCCCCUUGCUGGACUAGAGCUCAAAGUAUACAUAUCUAUCCAGAUGGAGAGUGUGGGUCCGGGGCCUGUGACGGGAGCGGUGGGCAUCCUCAUAUUGCUGUAAUGGAUCACAGGCUGUGGGAAAUCUGCCCAGGCCUGGGACUAUGGAAUUGUAUGAAAAGCUCAGGAUUGGGGCACUCACUGCUCUCUUGGCUUAUUCCUGCAGAGUAACACCAGACAUCUCCCAAGAGUCUGUGUGAGAAAUCAAGGUCUAGACCACUUCAAGGCUCAGCUGGAGUGGACCCUGCAUGAUUCUCGCCCUUUCUGUUAUACCCAGAGUAAUGGGUUUCUGUGGCAAGUUAGCCUGUCACCAGGACAGGAUAUUGCCAAGGCAUUUUGAGAACACAUCUAUGUGAACUAUGUGCAUGCUGUGAGCAGGCAAAUGAAUGGACAAGAAUCCAUGAAAUACUGACAUGCAGACUACAAGAUAACAACUAGACCUGGCAAUGUAGAGAAAUUUGUGUGGGGAGGUGUCGUUUACUCACUGUUCCCACACAGGACUCUCUGAAUGGGAACCGCAUCAACUUGGCGUAUUAGGGCAUGUCAAAUAGUAUGAUAAUUCUUGUAAUCUGAGACACUAACUAUGGCUGCUGUUGUAAAGUCCACAGAGACCUUGUCUCAUGGCAGUGGUUCCUAUCCUGUGGUUAGCGACCCUCCAAAAGUCCACCUGCACGAAAGAAAUUCCUGCUAGGCGUCAUAGAAGAAUAAAAAUUACAAUUAGCAUGUCGCAAGUAAAAUAAUUUUUGGUUGGUAGUCAACACAAACUGAGGAACUGUAUUAGAGGUUGCCAGGUGGUGGAGCUGUUGAAACCCACUCACUGCCUAUUGGCUGUGAGGAAGGUGGGUACAGUCUGACGGUCUUCCUAAUUGAAAAGUGAAGGCUAUUUGCCCACAGCAAGGUCUCUGUCCUGGGUGGGUGGAGACAUUCGUGGCAGAAGAACAUAUCUGGGACACUGCUGAGUCUUGGGUGUUGCACAGGCCCCUGGACCCUGGAAGAGGCAACCCCAGAUGCCGCGGGUGACAUGAAAGCAAAAUUACAGUCCAUCUUUGAGGAUGGUCAGCAUGUUAUCAAUGAGAUCCUAGUUGGUUCAGAUUGUUCAAAUUUGGGGAUGAUAUAGAGCUUUAACAACUAUUCAUGUCCACAAAACUGUGCAAUACUAGCAGGGCCAAAGUGUCUGGGAAAGGGCCAUGGGGAUAUAUUUGUGCCACCCUUUUUAAUGGUUUUCUUAAAAGUGGUGGAAAUUAGGAAACCUUGUGAAGUUUUGGAUACAUGAACAUGAUAGACACAAGCCCCACAGCUGGGGUGCCAGGUGCACCUUGUGUGGCAUCCUGGAAAGCCUCUGAGCUGUGGUGGGGGACAGCAUUAAUCUCUUUAUCCCAGCCGAAUCUAGUGGCAGCCAAAACAUGCAACCCCAGCUAGUCUCUGCACUGUGUCGUAAGUGAUGGGUAUGUGCCAGCCUAGAGCGUGCCCCUUGCAGACCUAUAGCUCAAGAUGUGCAUAUCCAUCCAGAUGUGGAGAGUGGGAACGUGGCCUGUGACGGGAGCUGGGGGCAUCAUCAAUUUGCUUGAAUGGAAUACAGGCUACGGGAGAUGUGGCCAUGCCUGGGACUAUGGAAUUCUAUGAGGAGCUCAGGAGCUGAGGCACACAAUGCUCUCAUGUUUAUAACUGGAGAGUAAUACCAGGUGUCCCCCAAGAGACUGUGUGCGAAAGGCAAGGUCUAGACCGCUUCAAACCUCAGCUGGUGUGGAGCCUGCAUGCUGCCCGCCCUUUCUGCUCAUCCCAGUAGGGAAGGGUGACUUUGUCAGGACAGGAUGUUGCCCAGGCAUCUUUGAUGCCACAUCCAUAUGAAGUAUGGGCAUGCUGUGAGGAGGCAAAUGAAUGAACUAGAAUCCAUGAGAUACUGGCAUGCAGGCUACAAGAUUCCAGCUAUGCCUGGCAAUGGAGCCAAAUUUGGGUAUGGAGUUUUCCUUCACUCACUGUUCCCACACAGGAGUCUUUGGAAUGGGGACCGCAUCAACUUGGCCUAUUAGGGCGUGUCAAAUAGUAUGAUAAUUCAUGUGAUCUGAGACCCUAACUUUGCCUGCUGUUGUAAAGUCAACAGAGACCUUGUGUCCUGGCAGUGUUUCCUAUCCUGUGGUUAGCAACACUCCAAAGUCCACUGGCACAAAAGAAAUUCUUGCUAGGAGUCAUAGCGGAAGCAAAAUUACAAUUAGGAUGUCGCAAGUAAAAUAAAUUUUUGGUUGGUAGUCAACACAACCUGAGGAACUGUAUUAGAGGUUGCCAGGUUGUGGAGCUGUUGAAACCCACCACUGCGUAUUGGCUGUGAGGGACCUGGGUACAGUCUGGCUCUCUUCCUAAUUUAAAGCGAAGGCCAUUUACCCACAGCAAGGUCUCUGUCCUGGGUGGGUGGAGACAUUCCAGGCAGAUGAACGUAUCUGGGUCACUGCUGAGUCUUGGGUGUUGCACAGGCACCUGGACCCUGAAAGAGGCAUCCCCAGAUGCCAUGGGUGACAUGGUUGAAAGGAAAAUUAUCAGUCCAUCUUUUAAGAUGGUCAUUAUGUUUUCACUGAGAAUCCAAUUGGUUCAGAUUGUUCAAAUUUGGGGAUAAUAUAGAGCUGUAACAACUACUCAUGUCCACAAAACUGUGCAACACCAGCAGGGCCAAAUUGUCUGGGACAGGGCCAAGGGGAUAUAUUUGUGCCACCCUUUCUAAUGGUUUUCUUAAAUGUUGGUGGAAAUUUGUAAACCUUGUGAAGUUUUGAAUGCAUGAGCAAUGAUGGACCCAAAGUCCCAUAGCUGAGGGGAUAGGUGCACCUUGUGUGGCAUCCAGGAAAGCCUCUGAGCCGUGGUGGUGGACAGCAUUAAUUUGUCUUUGACCCAGCCGAAUGUAGUGGCAGGCUACAACCUGCGUCCCCAGCUAGUCUCUGCACUGUGUUGUAAGAGAUGGGUAUGUGCCAGCCUAGAGCUUGCCCAUUGCGGACCUAGAGCUCAAGAUGUGCAUAUCCAUCCAGAUGUGGAGAGUGGGACCAUGGCCUGUGACUGGAGCUGUCGGCAUCGUCACUUUGCUGGAAUGGAACACAGGCUAUGGGAGAAGUGGCCAAGCCUGGAAUAUGGAAUUCUAUGAAGAGCUCAGGAUCUGAGGCACACAAUGCUCUCAUGUUUAUGACUGGAGAGUAAUACCGGGUGUCCCCCAAGAGCCUGUGUGGGAAAGGCAAGAUCUAGACAGCUUCAAGCCUCAGCUGGUGUGGAGCUUGGAUAAUGGCCGCCCUUUCUGCUCAUACCAGUAGGGAAGGGUGCCUUUGGCAGGACAGGAUGAUGCCCUGGCGUCUUUGAUGCCACAUCCAGUAAGGGCAUGCUGUGAGGAGGCAAAUGAAUGGACUAGAAUCCAUGAAAUGCUGCCAUACAGGGUACAAGAUUCCAGCUAUGCCUGGCAAUGUAGCCAAAUUUGUGUGUGCAGGUGAAGUUCAUUCCCUGUUCCCACACAGGACUCUUUGGAAUGGGAACCAAAUAAAAUUGGCCUAUUAGCGCAUGUCAAAUAGUAUGAUAAUUCUUGUGAUCUGAGGCACUAACUUUGCCUGCGUUGUAAAUUCAACAGAGACCUUGUGUCCAGGCAGUGGUUCCUAUCCUGUAGUUAGCGACCCUCCAAACGUCUACCGGCGCAAAAGAAAUUUCUGCUAGGAGUCAUAGCAGAACCAAAAUUACAAUUAGGAUGUUGAAAGGGAAAUAAUUUUUUGGUUGGUAGUCAACACAACCUGAGGAACUGUAUUAGAGGGUGCCAGGUGGUGGAGCUGUUGAAACCCACCACUGCCUAUUGGCUAUGAGGGAGCUGGAUACAGUCUGGCUGCUCUUCCUAAUUGAAAAGUGAAGGCCAUUUGCCCACAGCAAGGUCUCUGUCCUGGGAGUGUGAAGACAUUCAUGGAAGCAAAACAUAUCUGGGUCACUGCUGAGUCUUGGGUGUUGCACAGACACCUGGACCCUGGAAGAGGCAUCCCCAGAUGCCGUGGGUGACAUGGUUGAAAGAAAAACUACAGUCCAUUUUUGAGGAUGGUCAGUAUGUUAUCAAUGAGAUCCCAGUUGGUUCAGAUAUAUCAAAUUUGGGGAUAAUAUAGAGCUGUAACAACUAGUCAUGUCCAUGAAACUGUGCAACACCAGCGGGGCCCAAGAGUCUGGGACAGGGCCAUGGAGAUAUUUGUGCCACCCUUUCUAAUGGUUUUCUUAAAUGUUGGUGGAAAUCUGGAAACCUUGUGAAGUUUUGAAUGCAUGAGCAUGAUGGACCCAAAGCCCAAUAUCUGGGGAGCCAGAUGCAUGAUGUGUGGCAUUCUGGCAAACCUCUGAGCUGUGGUGGUGGACAGCAUUAAUCUGUCUAUAUUCCAGCCGAAUGUAGUGGCAGCCACAACCUGCGUCCCCAGCUAGUCUCUGCACUGUGUCAUAAGUGAUGGGUAUGUGCGAGCCUAGAGUUUGCCACUCGCAGACCUAUAGCUCAAGAUGUGCAUAUCCAUCCAGAUGUGGAGAGUGGGACCGUGGCCUGUGACGAGAGCUGUGGGCAUCGUCAAUUUGCAGGAAUGGAAUACAGUCUAUGGGAGAUGUGCCCAAGCCUGGGACUAUGGAAUUCUAUGAGGAGCUCAGGAGCUGAGGCACACAAUGCUGUCAUGUUCAUGACUGGAGGGUAACACCGGGUGUCCCCCAAGAGCCUGUGUGGGAAAGGCAAGGUCUAGACAGCUUCAAGCCUCAGCUGGUGUGGAGCUUGCCUGGUGCCUACCCUUUCGGCUCAUACCAGUAGGGAAAGGUGCCUUUGACACGACAGGAUGUUGCCCAGGCAUCUUUGAUGCCACAUCCAUGUGAAGUAUGGGCAUGCUGUGAGGAGGCAAAUGAAUGAACUAGAAUCCAUGAGAUACUGGCAUGCAGGCUACAAGAUUCCAGCUAUGCCUGGCAAUGGAGCCAAAUUUGUGUGGGGAGUUUUCCUUCACUCACUGUUCCCACACAGGACUCUUUGGAAUUGGGACCGCAUCAACAUGGCCUAUUAGGGCGUGUCAAAUAGUAUGAUAAUUCUUGUGAUCUGAGGCACUAACUUUGCCCGCUGUUAUAAAGUCAACAGAGACCUUGUGUCCUGGCAGUGGUUCCUAUCCUAUAGUUAGCGACCCUCCAAACAUCCACCGGCACAAAAGAAAUUUCUGCUAGGAGUCAUAGCAGAACCAAAAUUACAAUUAGGAUCUGGAAAGGAAAAUAAUUUUUUGGUUGGUAGUCAACACAACCUGAGGAACUGUAUUAGAGGGUGCCAGGUGGUGGAGCUGUUGAAACCCACUCACUGCCUAUUGGCUGUGAGGAAAGUGGGUACAAUCUGGCCGCUCUUCCUAAUUGAAAAGUGAAGGCCAUUUGCCCACAGCAAGGUCUCUGUCCUGGGAGGGUGAAGACAUUCAUGGAAGAAGAACAUAUCUGGCUCACUGCUGAGUCUCUGGUGUUGCACAGGCACCUGGACCCUGGAAGAGGCAUCCCCAGAUGCCGUGGGUGACAUGGUUAAAGGAAAACUACAGUCCAUCUUUGAGGAUGGUCAGUAUGUUAUCAAUGAGAUCCCAGUUGGUUCAGAUUGAUCAAAUUUGGGGAUAAUAUAGAGCUGUAACAACUAGUCAUGUCCAUGAAACUGUGCAACACCAGCGGGGCCAAAGAGUCUGAGACAGGGCCAUGGGGAUAUAUUUGUGCCACCCUUUCUAAUGGUUUUCUUAAAUGUUGGUGGAAAUUAGGAAACCUUGUGAAGUUUUCAAUGUAUGGGCAUGAUGGACUCAAGCCCCUCAGCUGGGGGGCCAGGUGCACCUUGUGUGGCAUCCUGGGAAGCCUCUGAGCUGUGGUGGUGGACAGCAUAAAUUUGUCUUUGACACAGCCGAAUGUAGUGGCAGCCACAACAUGUGUCCCCAGCUAGUCUCUGCACUGUGUCUUAAGUGAUAGGUAUGUGGGAGCCUAGAGCUUGCCCCUUGCAGACCUAGCGCUCUAGAUAUGCAUAUUCAUCCAGAGGUGUAGAGUGGGACCCUGACCUCUGACAGGAGCUGUGGACAUUGUCACUUUGCUGGAAUGGAACACAGGCUAUGGGAAAUGUGGCCAAGUCUGGAAAUAUGGAAUUCUAUGAGGAGCUCAGGAGCUGAGGCACACAAUGCUCUCAUGUUUAAAAGUGGAGAGUAACAAUGGGUGUCCCCCAAGAGCCUGUAUGGGAAAGGCAAGGUCUAGAUAGCUUCAAGCCUCAGCUGGUGUGGGGACUGCAUGAUGCCCGCCCUUUCUGCUCAUCCCAGUGGGGAAGGGUGACUUUGGCAGGACAGGAUGUUGCCCAGGCGUCUUUGAUGCCACAUCCAUGUGAAGUAUGGGCAUGCUGUGAGGAGGCACAUGAAUGGACUAGAAUACAUGAAAUACUGGCAUACAGGCUACAAGAUUCCAGCUAUGCCUUGCAAUAUAGCCAAAUUUGCGUGGGGAGGUGUCGUUCAUAUACUGUUCCCACACAGGACUCUUUGGAAUGGGGACCACAUCAACUUGGCCUAUUAGGACAUGUACAACAGUAUGAUAAUUCAUGUGAUCUGAGACACUAACUUCGCCUGGGUUGUAAAUUCAACAGAGACCUUGUGUCCUGGCAAGGGUUCCUAUCCUGUAGUUAGCGACCCUCCAAAUGUCCACCGGCACAAAAGAAAUUUCUGCUAGGAGUCAUAGCAGAACCAAAAUUACAGUUAGGACCUGGAAAGGAAAAUAAUUUUUUGGUUGGUAGUCAACACAACCUGAGGAACUGUAUUAGAGGGUGCCAGGUGGUGGAGCUGUUGAAACCCAAUCACUGCCUAUUGGCUCUGCGGAAUGUGGGUACAGUCUUGCCGCUCUUCCUAAUUGAAAAGUGAAGGCCAUUUGCCCACAGCAAGGUCUCUGUCCAGUGUGGGUGGACACAUUCGUGGCAGAAGAACAUAUCUGGGUCACUGCUGAGUCUUGGGUGUUGCACAGGCACCUGGACCCUGGAAGAGGCAUCCCCUGAUGCUGUGGGUGACAUGGUUGAAAGAAAAACUACAGUCCAUCUUUGAGGAUGGUCAGUAUGUUAUCAAUGAGAUCCCAGUUGGUUCAGAUUGAUCAAAUUUGGGGAUAAUAUAGAGCUGUAACAACUAGUCAUGUCCACGAAACUGUGCAACACCAGCAGGGCCAAAUUGUCUGGGACAGGGCCAUGGGGAUAUAUUUGUGCCACCCUUUCUAAUGGUUUUCUUAAAUGUUGGUGGAAAUUAGGAAACCUUGUGAAGUUUUGAAUGCAUGAGCAUGAUGGACCCAAUGCCCUAUAGCUGAGGGGCCAGGUGCACCUUGUGUGGCAUCCUGGAAAACCUCUGAGCUGUGGUGAUUGACAGCAUUAAUCUGUCUUUGACCCAGCCGAAUGUAGUGGCAGCCACAACCUGCGUCCCCAGCUAGUCUCUGCACUGUGUUGUAAUUUAUGUGUAUGUGCCAGCCUAGAGCUUGCCCCUUGUGGACCUGAAGCUCAAGAUGUGCAUAUCCAUCCAGAUGUGGAGAGUGGGACUGUGGUCUGUGACGGGAGCUGUGGGCAUCGUCACUUUGCUGGAAUGGAGCAGAAGUUGUUGCAGAUGCAGCCAGGCCUGGUACUACGGAAUUCUAUGAGGAACUCAGGGUUGGGCCUCACUGCUCUCUUGUCUUGUGUACCUGGAGAAUAACACCGGGUAUCCCCCAAGAGCCUGUGUGGGAUAGGCAAGGUCUAGGCCGCUUCAAGCCUCAGCUGGUUUGGAGCCUGCUUGAUGCCUGCCCUUUCAACUCAUCCAAUUAGGGAAGUGUGACUCUGGUAUGAUAGGCCCUCACCAGGACAGGAUUUUGCCCAGGCGUUUUGACGCCACUUCCAUUUCAAUUAUGGGCUUGCUGUGAACAGGCAAUUGAAUGGACCAGAAUCCAUGAAAUACUGGCAUGCAGACUACAAGAUUCCAUCUAGGCCCAGCAAGUUAGAGAAAUUGGGGUGGGGAGGUUUUGUUCACUCACUGUUCCUGCACAGGACUCUUUGGCAUGCUGACCCCAUCAACUUGACCUAUUAGGGCGUGUCAAAUAGUGUGAGAAUUCAUGUGAUCUGGGGCGUUAACUUUGCCCGCUGUUGUAAAGACAACAGAGACCUUGUCUCGUGGCAGUGGUUCUCAUCCCAGUGGUUGCGACCCUCCCAAAGACCACCUGUAAAAAACACAUUCCUGCUGGGACUCAUAGCAGGAGCAAAAUUACUGUUAGGAUUUUGCAAGUACAAUAAUGUUACAGGUUGUGGUCAACACAAAAUGCGGAACUGUAUUACUGCUGCCAGGUGGGGGAGCUGUUGAAACCCACACUGCCUUUUGGAUGCAUGGAAGAUGGGUAGUGUCUGGCCACUCUUCCCAAUUGAAAGGUGAAGGCCAUUUGCCCACAGCAAGGUCUCUGUACUGGGUGGUUGGGUACAUUGUUGGGGGCUGAUCAUAUCUGGGUCACUGCUGAGUCUUGGGUGUUACACAGGCUCAUGGACCCUGGAAAAGGCAUCUCCAGAUUCCGUGGGUGACUUUUGUGAAAUAAAGCUACAGACCUUCUACAAGGAUGGUCUGACUGCGAGCAAGAGGAUCCCAGUUGGUUCAGAUUGAUCAGAUUUGGGGAUAAUAUAGAGCUGUAAAAACUAGUCAGGUCCACGAAACUGUGUAACACCAGCAGGGCCAAAGAGUCGGGGACAGGGCCAUGGAGAUAUAUUUGUGGCACCCUUUCUAAUGGUCUUUGUAAAUCGUUGGUGGAAAUUAGGAAACACUGUCAAGUUGACAGCAUUAAUCUGUCUAUGUCGCAGCUGAAUGUAAUGGCAGGCACAACUUGUGUCCCCAGCUAGUCUCUGCACUGGGUCGUAAGUGAUGGGUAUGUGCCAGCCUAGAGCUUGCCCCUUACUGAAUGAGAGCUCAAGGUGUGCAUAUCCAUCCAGAUGUGGAAAGUGGGACCAUGGACUGUGACGAGAGCUGUGGGCAUCUUCACUUUGCUGGAAUGGAACACAGGCUAUGGGAGAUGUGGCCAAGCCUGGGACUAUGGAAUUCUAUGAGGAGCUCAGGAGCUGAGGCACACAAUGCUCUCAUGUUUAUAAGUGGAGAGUAACAAUGGGUGUCCCCCAAGAGCCUGUGUGGGAAAGGCAAGGUCUAGACCGCUUCACGCCUCAGCUGGUGUGGAGCCUGCAUGAUGGCCGCCCUUUCUGCUCAUCCCAGUAGGGAAGGGUGACUUUCUCAGGACAGGAUGUUGCCCAGGGUUUUUGAUGACACAUCCAUGUGCAGUAUGUACAUGUGGUGAGCAGCAAGUGAAUGGACCAGAAUCCAUGAAAUACUGGCAUGCAGACUACAAGAUUCCAGCUACACCUUGCAAUGUAGCCCAAUUGGGGUGGGGAGGUGUCGUGUCGUUCACUCACUGUUCCCACACAGAACUCUUUGUAAAAUGGGACCCCAUCAACUUGGCCUAUUAGGGUGUGUCAAAUAUUGUGAGAAUUCAUGUGAUCUGGGGCACUAACUUUGCCCACUGUUGUAAAGUCAACAGAGACCUUGUCUUGUAGCAGUGGUUCUCAUCCCGGGGUUCAGUUUUUGACCAUAGGUCUUCGGAUUGUGUAUUUGUGUUACUGCAUUGUCUUUUUUAAUGCUUUUUGUGCCCCUUUCCUCUAUGGGCUCGUGUACCUCAAGACUAACACUAGUGGAAAAUUGCCUCUGAAAUCAUGUCUUUGUUCCUACUAUGCUGCAUUUAUCAGAAUCUAUGGGAUCCCAGCCAGUCCUGUAAUUAUAGAAUUCAUGAGAAUUUGAUAUUUGGGAACUUCACAUAUUGGAAUGUUGCAUAUGCAUCACGUUGCUAUCUGUGCCUAAGUAUUUGGGGAUAUUUAGUUUUAAUGCAGCUAUGCCCCAGUCAAUAAAUUGGGCUGGUUUGUGGCUGUAUGAUCCCAGCCUUAUCUGCAAAUUUUUAGUCACCAGGAUGUGAUGAAUCACAGGGUUUUUGCCCAUAGAAGGAUAAUGGCCAUCUUGUUGGAAAGCAGAAUACUGGAUCAGUCUCAUUGUCUAGUGUGCAGUGUGCAAGAUACCAAUUAAUCAUAGGUUUGUAAGGAUUGGGCAGUUUCAUAAGAGUAUGUUUCUCACUUUGUUGUGGUAGGGUUCUGAUUGCUACAUUAUCUAUGCCUGGGAUUAUGAAGGGCAGGGGCAUUCUGGGUUCAGGAGCACUUACCUGACUCAACUGGUGUAUAAGCUGUGAGAUCCAGAGUAGGACUGGGAUUUUUAGGCCAAAUGGGUGGGUGAACAUCUGGGUCACUCUGCAGGCUGGCAAGGUGCCAGGCAGCAUGGUCCAUGCUCAGACUUGUACGUGCUCAAUUGUGGUAGCUGAUUAUUUGGUGUCCAUAGCUAGGUCUUUUUUGUUAGUUAGCAUUUGCUUGGUUUCUGUGAAGUUAUUUUUCAAGUAUGUGCCAGUUAUUUUCCAGGUUUUUUCCCCUCGAUACUAGGAUUAAGUGUUUUCUAGUUUGUUUCAGGUUUGUGUGUUUUUCAAUGAUAAAUUCUUGAACAAUUGGUAUCUUUCAUGUUCAUGUUCUUCCCUUCAUUGUCUGGUCUAACAAUAAGAAAUUUCAGCUAUGUGACAAUGAUUACCUGUUUGGUGUUUAAUGUUUCCUAUGCCAUGUCUUUCAUAGGCAUUGCUGUUCUGAUAUCCAUAACCCCUUUAUGUCUUUUCUACUCUAGUUUUAAAUAGAAAGCUUUCCAUUUGAUAUUCUCCACAUUAAUCCCUGUAUUAAUCAUAAUAGUCUCUGCAUUUUAUGAUUCCAGCUCUUUCUACUUUGAUCAUUCAAAAGUGUUCUGUAUCUCGUUUUUAUCUAGUUACCUGUGCUCUGGUGAGGAGGCAAAUCUUUAAACUCAGCCACUCCCAAAGAAAACAUGUCAUGUAGGUUUCAAAGGAAGUUUGCCAUUUCUGUAUCUUCUUCAUCAUCAUUUAUUCUAGCCAUGAAGGGAUUAUUGCAUUUAUAUGUCUUCCAUAGCUGGAUUUAUUUUGGCAACACAGCAGUCUUCAAUAUCUAUGUCUUCUCGAGUUAUAGCUGCCUUCAAAUCAUAAUAUCUAUUCCAUAUUCUUUUUUUGGUUUUCAAAACAGGUUUUCUCCGUGUAGCUUUGGAGCCUAUCCUGGCACUCGCUCUGUAGACCAGGCUGGCCUUAAACUCACAGAUAUCCAUCUGCCUCUACCUCCUGAGUUCUGGGAUUAAAGGUGUGCACCACCAAUGCCCAGCCUACUCUAUAUUCUUGUCUUUUCCAGGUAUAUUCUUUGAUAGCUUCUGAAAUUUUCAAUUUCCAUAUAUUUCAAAGCCAUAUUUUUGUCAAGUAUUUCCCCACCACAGUAAUAAAUGAUGAUAAAAAUGGCUAUCAUUUUCCUAUCUGCUUCAUGAAAUGUACUCUUCAUGCUAUAUUUUCUACCAUACAUAGUUUUAUUAGGAAAUAAGCUUUCUAUCUUAUGUCUUUACUAACAUAUCUCUUUAAUGCAUUGACAAAGUUUUUCUUAUCAAUUUAUUAUUCAAAAUGAGCACCCAUAAAAGAUAGAAUUCAAUUGUCGGUCUUGGAUAAUCAUUAAAUAUUUUGGUUGCAAAGAGAACAUCUAGUAUGACUUAUUCACUUAUAAGGGUUUUUUAAAUCACAUUAUAAUUUUCCAUGCCUAUAUGUUUCUAACUCGCAACUACUCUGGCAAUACUCUGGAAUUCUUUGCAGUCACAUCCUCCCUUUUACUUUAGUACUGUAAUAUGUCAUCCAUCACUAUGUCUUUCCCUAGAUAUAGAUGCUGUUGACAAGAAAGUGAUGCUCAACUUCUAUGUCAUCUCAUUCAGUGCAGGGUUGUAGUUGUGAAAUGCUUUCCAAAUCCAUUUCAUCAUGAGUUAAAGUUGCUUGGUAAUGCAAGAAGUUUUCCAUUACCAUGUCUUCCCAAUCCAUAUCCACCCUACUUAAGGAAAUUUUCCUGCUUCUCCUCUUCUAUAGGCUCAACCGAGUUGGUCAGAAAAAAAGUUUCUAUCACUGGCUAAGAAAUAAGUCCUUCACCUUCAUGAUUUUUCCAGGUGCAUCUACUUUGAUAAUGUAAGAAGUCACUCCUUGCUCAUGCCUUUAAAAGUCUUUCUGCUCUGGUUAUGAGCUUGGCUUUAAAUGCUAUAUGUUGUAGCUCCCUCUAUAAAAAAACAUAUACCUUCUUGUUUUCACAAACUACAGCUGUCUUUGUUACAUAAUUAUAUUUUCUGCUAUCAUGACUUCUCAAUUCAUGGCAGCUUUGAUCAUGAGAGCAGACUUUCCACAGCACAUUCUUUGCUGUUUUGGAUUUUAGGAAACCUUCUAACUCCAUUCCUGUCCAGAAAUACCUAUUUUUGUCACAUUCUAGUUUUGGUUUCCUCAGUUUCUGCAUGCACAGUUACUUUGUCAAGUAAACAAUGUGCCUAAAUCUAGGAUUUCUCCUGCUGCAUUUGCUGUCCAUGUGAAUGAAAUCUGUUUUAGUGACCACAGAAGGUUCCUCUUUCCUCUUUGGCCAUUUCUUCUCUGACCACUGAAGAGUUUUCUGAUUGUAUGUCUUAUGUGACCACAGCAGUUCUUUGUGUAUUUAUAUUGAGAUAUAAUCUCAUCAGUCAGUGUGAUCUUGAAUUCACUAUCCUCCCACAGUGCUAGCUAGCAUCUCUUUGAUAAGUGUAUCUGAGCUUUACAACACCCACAUAGUUAAUAAAUCUCUACAGAAAUAUGAAUCAAUAGAUGUAUUAUCUUACAUGCUUGCUUUUUGUGACAAAAUCAGCUAAAAUCCACUUAUUCAAUAAAAACCCUAAAUACAAUAUGUUGCCAUACAUCAUGUCUCUAUACUUGCUCCUCCUACACACCUGCUAUAUCAGGAUUCCUUUAGAACCGUUCCCUCCUCUUCAACACAGUGAAAGUUCCCUUGCAGAACCAAGUGUGAUUCCAUCCUGCUACCUCCCACAGUUCCAGCUUCACCCAUGUCUUGACAGUGUAUAGGGAAACAUAUAAAGAAUAUGUUAAUCUCUCCAUCCCUAGCUUAGGUGAUAAUUAAAUACUGAGGCUAGUUCAAGACUAAAUAAAUCUCCAGUACAGUGACAAAUCUACGUGUAUAGCUUGAGGUAUUAAGAAGUGCCCCCAUCUACUUUCAGAAAAACUUAAGUAAUAUGAACUUAGCAAUAUGUAUGUUUCAAAAUUAAGAUAAGCCAAAGAGUGAUCACCUGAUAGAGGAGAUUGUCCAUCAUGCCAGUAUUUUAUCUGCAUGUGAUGAAGACAAGGAAUAAGCACUAUUGAGACUUCACUGUGCCUAAGCCCUGUAUAGGAAUACUGUGGUGAGGUACACAGGGUAUAGAAGAUAGUUUGUGCUUUUGAUUUCUACUAUGUACUCUAUGUCUACCUCUGCUUCUUUGUGUGAAAAAAAUGUUUAGAGUUGAUGAAAGGGAGUCAGCUAUGGAAGGCAGAGAUACAUAGUUAAAGCCCAAAUCUAUCUAUGAAUAAAGUGUGUGACCUUGGAAAAGUUAAAAAAAGAAUAUGCUAAUUAGUACACAGUUCUAGGCAACAACUGUCAAGUAGAUAAGCCCACUUUGUUCUCUUCUGUAUAGUUUUGCAUUUCUACCUAUGCCUAUUUAUGUGAAUGUAUUCCAUUUUCAUGCUGUAUGUUUUGGCUUUUUACUCUGUAUCCCAACUGAGUCCAACCUGAGAAAGAGGCUAUAAGUGUAGCACGGAGAACAUAUUGUAAUUAUGGUAAGACAAUGGCCAAUACAUGAACUAUUCUGUAAAAGGUGAAUAGAUCAAAGAAGCAACCACUGAAACACACCCUAAAACAUCAGGAACUCAUUAGAGUGCAGUGAGGCUUUCUACGGGCAAAGAUAAUUUCUGCCUAAGAUAAAGGAUCUGGGGUUGUCUGUUUGUCUCAACUCAGCCCCUUCAUCAGACCAAACAUACCAAGAAAACUCAGGCUUGUAACUUGUAAAAAGUAACUUGUGGUUGAAAUACUCUUUUCAUAUGAAUACCAUGAGUGCUGGGCUUGGUGGUAUACUUCUGAAAUCCUAGCACUAAAAAGACCAAAGCAAUAGGAUUACAGCCCACUAUGGGUUGCAUGAUAAGAACCUGUUUUAAAAUGACUAAUAUUAUUAUUUUUACUCAUACAUGCUCUUCUUUUUUUGGAAUAUCCCUGGGUUUCUGAACUCCAUUUGGCUCAACAUCAUGUCUUCUUAUACUCAACUGAGGAACACCUUUGGACAUUUGUAUCUGGAUUUUCUUCAGGCUUAGUGUUUGGCACUCCUUAUGUAGACCUCUACACCCUAAUUACAGGUGUUUUUAACCAGAAAUGCCAUCCAUUAGCUCUAUCAAGAGGAACAGCCAGUCAACAUGCCACCACAUUUCAACAACCUGCCUAGGAACUUGUCACAAGCUCAAGUCCCAAGAUCAUCUGGCUAUCAAGACUCACUCCUUCAUAUUUCCACAAAUGUUAGUUUGGCUGUGCUUGCAGUCCAUGCUACUUGGGUGGCUGAGAUGAGAGAAUUACUUGAGUCAAAUAACCAAAUUUACUAUCCUAAACAACACAGUAUGACCCCAUCUCAAAUAAAAAACCAACCAAACACCAGGAAAGAAAUCCAUAGACUUUCUAGUGAGCUUGCUGAGGAAAACGACUGUAUUGUUAAAUGUUAAGGGAUCUUGCCUUUACUGUAUUAUAUUGAUGGUUUUUUAUUAUUUAAGCUACAAAAAUAUUCAUUCUGAAUAAUACACAUUCUUGAGUGAACUUUUGGAAUGGGUGAGAUACUUAUAUGUAUACAUGUGAUGAGAUAAUAUUUGUGGCAUUUUAGACUGAUAUUGUUAUUUGUAGUUUACUCAUGGUGCAUUGUUUAUUUUUUCAUUAAAUUAUGUAAGAUUGAAGGAUUAGAAUUCACAAAUCAGAUGGUAAAUUAAAAGCUACUUCUGAGCCAGCAGAUAAAAAUUUUAUGAUAAAAACAUAAUAAAUGCUAUUUAUAUACAUUAAAGACUAAAAAGCAUAAAAAGGCAAAGUUUGAAUUUCUCUACUAUGAAGGAGCCAGGUCCACCAGAAAUCAGUUGUGGUAUUCCUCCCACUGACUGACAUCAGCUGUAGCUGCCAGCCUUGUGUUCUCACACCAUGAAAGCCCAGAAGAGAAGGCCUGGGCUAUGUAAACACAACCAGAUGGAUAAAAAUUACAUAUGUAGAACAGGCUGUGAGUAGUAGAAAUGUGGUUUGAAAAUCUGAAGAUCACUACCCAUUAAUAAAUGGCACAAUUUAUCAAGAAGAUUACAAUAUUAUUAACAUUUAUGCACUGUACAAUCAAGUGGGAGAUUUCAAUACUCUCAUCUUUAGACACAUAUUUCAAACUAAAAAUCAACAAACAGCUUAAGUAAAUAACACCAUAGAGCAUUUUUUCAUUAUUUAUCAACCACAUUUCCACUCCCUCCUCUUCUGCUCUCUCGCCCCACAUCCCCCUACCCCUUUCCCAUCCACUCCUCUUCAGUCUCCACUCAGAUGGGGUAAGGCUUCCCAUGGGAAUCAACAAAGCAUGGCAUAUUAAGCUGAAGCAGGACUAAGCUCCUCCCUGCUGCAUCAAGGCUGAACAAGGCAUCUGCUAGGGACCCAAAAGAGAUCAAGCUACACAACUGUCACCCAGAUGCAGAGGCAUAGGCCAUUCCCAUGCCACCUCCCUAGCUGUCUAUCCAGUCUGUGAGAUUCCACAAGGUCAGAUCAGCUGUCUCAAGCAAUUGCAUUUAACAAAUACAACGUAUUCCAUUCAGCUAAUAGAGAAUGCACAUUAUUCUCAACAGCACAUGGGGCUUUCUCUAAAACCAUUUACAUUAUAGGACGCAAACCAAAGAAUCAAAUUCCUUACAUUUUAUCAGAUAAUAGAAGAAUAAAAGAAGCAACACAAAUAUUUAAUACUGAGCAGUUACAUUUUUAAAUGAACAGAGGGGCAUUGAGGAAAUCAAGGAAAGUUUUUUAAAUCCUGUAAACAAAUGAAAAUUAUGAUACAACCUAUCAAAACUUAUGGGAUACAAAAAGACACAAGAGGAGGGUUUAUAGCUACAAGUGCUUACAUUAAAAAUUCAAUGAGAUUACAAAUAAAUAACCUAAUUGUAUACCUCAAGGUUCUAGAAAAAGAAGUCAAACUCAGGUCAUAUGAAUGUCAAGAAGCAGAGACUAAUAAUGCACAGAGUCAAUCAAACAGAAAGUUAGUUAUUUGACAAGUGAAAGAUUAGCAAUCUAAUGAAAAAUAGAUAAUAUCCAAGAAAGAAAAUGUAGACGUGCAAAAGGAGCUAUUGCAGCAGACUCUAAUAAAAUCCAGAGGGACAUUAGGGAAUACAUAGAAACCUUAUAUUCUAAAAAGCUAGAAAGCUGGGGCUGGAGAUGUAGCUCAGUGGCAGAGUGCGUCUCUGGCAUAUUCAAGGCCCUGGAUUUGAUUCCUUGCACUGUCAAAAAACCAAAAUGCUAGAAAAUUUUUUAAAAAUGGAUAUAGUCCUAAACCCACAUAACCUGUCAACAUGAAUUCAAGCAGAUAUGAAUAACUUCAAGAGAUACAAAAUAAGCAAUGAUAUUGAAGUCCCACAUGGACGAAUUCACUACUGAAUUCUAAAAAAAUCUUUAAUAAGUCUAGCAUCAAAACUUUUUAAACAUUUUCAUAAAGAAGAAAUGGAGGCGACACCAUUAAACUUAUUCUGUGAUGCUGGUAUUAUCAUGAUACCACAUUUCCCUGGUGAACAGAUAUAAGAAUUUUCAAAAUACUUGUAAACAAAAUUCAUUAACACACUAAGAACAAAAUACCACCACCAAAUUGGUUUUAUACCAAGGAUGCAAGUUUGGCUUAAAGCACACAAAUCAGUAAAUAUAAUGCACUAUAUUAAUAGACGUAAGUACAGGAUCACAUGAGAAUUUCUAUAGAUAGAGGAAAGUCAUUUUCAAAGUUCAACAUAUGCUCAUGAUAAAAUGUCAUGAAGAAUUUAGUAAUUGAAGGGACAUAUUUCAACAUAAAAAGGCUACAUAUGACAAAUCCAUAGCUAACAUUAUAUUAAAUGGGGACAAACCAAGAGCACUUCUAAAAUCUGGAACAAGACAAGGGUGCCUACUCUUAACCACUUUCAUAGAACACAGUGUUUGAAGCCUUAGAGCAGUAAGACAAGAGAGAGAAAAGGGGGAUAUAAAUAGGAAAAGAAGUCAAAUCAAAUUAUCCUUAUUUGCAAAAUGACAUGACCUUCUACUUUAAAAGACUCUUAAUACCACAACCAAAAUCUCUUAGAUGUAACACAUUCAGUACUUGUUAGAAUACAAAAUGAUGUAGUCACUGAAAAAAUUAUGGUGAUUCCUUGAAAUAUUUCUUAAAGUUAUAUAAUCUAGCAAUUCUAUUUGUGGAUAUUCACUCAGGAAGAUUGAAAACAGGUUAUUCAAGAGAAAUCUGCAUAUCUUUAGUCAAAGCUUUUCUUCACAACAGUAUGAAGGUAGAAAUAACUCAAGCAUCUAUCAGUGGAAGAAUAGAUAAAUGUGGCAAAAAUAUGCAGUAGAAUCUUAUUUAUACUUUCAAAAAGAGGGCCAACUUGUAGAUGCUACAAUAUGAAUAAACUUUGCAGAUACUGUGGUAAAGGAAAUAAGUCAACCACAAAAGGUACAGACAACAUUAUUUCACUAAGAUGAAUGUCCAAAGUAGUCAAAUCAUAGAAAAGUAUUAAUGGUGAUUACCAGGGUCAUUGUCUUAGACAGUGUUCUAUUGAUCUGAAGAGACACCGCGACCAUGGCAACUCUUAUAAAGAAAACCAUUUAACUAGGGCUGGCUUGCAGUUUCAGAGGUUUAGUCCAUUAUCAUAAUGAUAGGGAAUAUGCCAAGAAGUGUUUGGCCUGGCAGUAUGAAGGCAGAUAUGGUGCUGAAGAGAUGCUGAGAAUUCUACAUCUAGAUCCAAAGGCGGAAGGAAGAGAGACAGAGACACUGCCUGGCUUGGGCCAUUGAAAACCUAAAGCCCACCCCUCAGUGACAUGCUUCCUCCAACAAGGCCACACUUACUCCAACAAGGCCAUAACUCAAAAUCUCUCUCAAGUAGUGUUACUCCCUAACGACCAAGCAUUCAAAUAUAUGAGCCUAUGGGGGCCAUUCUUUUUCAAACCACUGCAUUAAUGGUGAUGGAGAAAAGGACUUUUGUUUUUUUCAUUCUCCUCAUCCUCACUGUUCUCAUUACUUUUACUUGUUUUUAUAUAUUUACUUUUGCAACAUGAAGAAAUUCUAUAGAUCCAUUUUAAUAUAAUGUGAAUAUAGUUAACAUUACUGUUAUACAUUUUAAAGUGAUAAAGAUGUUUUAUAGACACAUUAAAUUUGUCACUGGCCCUAAAAUGGAAGUGAUUGGAAAAAUGAAUUAAAAUUCAAACUACAUUGUUGUAUGACUUUUCCUGUGGGGGAGGUAUAAAGAAAUGACUAUUCAUUCCACAUAGAGCAUUAAAUACAAACUAAAAACCUAAAUCUACCUAAGUUUAGCUUGGUGCAUCAGUGGGUUUAUUGGAGUUACUUAUGGGAACACGGGGGAUUGGGCAGCUGCGUCAUCAAAAAAGUCCAAUCCAAACAUGAGUGACCACUGCAUGGGUGAUUUUGGCAGCUGAUUCACAGAAUAAUCAACUCCAGCAUGUGUGACCACUCACAGAUGCUGCAUAACUGGAGUUUUGCCUCUAGUCAUCCUUCUGCUUCCUAUAUUCUCUGUAACUUCCCAAGACCACAUAUAGACGAGAGGUUAAGGUGUGGUGACCUUCCUUCUAAGAGUUAAUGUUAAUAAUCCAAUUAUAACAGUUAUUAACCUAGCUACUAACGUGUUGUUUUGCUUAUUUUAGUACUGGAAAAUUACUGUGGAAUUAAGGUAUUCUAUAGGUCAUAAAACCACCCUAGUUUCAUGAUGGUUAUGGUCAUGAUGUACUUGUAGAAAACAGCUAUACCAUACACAUGUCCUGUAUUGAGAUAUAAUUGACAAAUAAAAGUUUAAUAUAUUUA